UCACAACCCCGUUAGCUACUAUCUCGUGGGUGGACUUCCUGGGUUCGCCCUUCCCGAGGAGCCGGCCUCGCGGGAUCUCAUUCGUUGCGACCCACGCGUCCCGCAUCGGCGGGACCCUGUGGGCCACUGGUGCGACAGUAGCCCCCAGGCGUGGGCCGGAAACCUUGAGAUCCCGGGUAGUGUUGUCCCCGGUCGGUUGCUGGGCUACGCCCUAUCCAAUGCAUGGGUCCCAGGAGAAAGUCCUGGUACCCGGCCUUGUUGGCUGCAUCCUUGGUUCCCCUCAACCGAGCAAAACGGUCGGGUGCACGAUCUCCUGCCUCGUUCCCCAUGAUUAACAGGGAGUUAAGGCCACAUCGCACACCCCGUCUUGAUUUCUCCGAAACUUUAUGGCACUUAAUUGCCGAUCGUGGGGGUGUCCAUUGCAACCUGCCAGCCCCAGAUAAAUACCCAAGGCCAGCGGCGCCAGGGCACCCCCAUUGCUCUCGCUUCUGCCAUUGCCUUCCGAGCUCACCGCACCCCAACCCUUGCCAAGUUCGCUCCUCACCCCCACCAAUGUCUUCCAAAGGCCAAAGUCGACCCAAGGGCAGCACCAGCAAAGGGGAGAAGAGCGAGAAGGCCUCCAAGAAGGAGCUGUCGGAAAGAGCGCGGAAGGACGAGGAAAUGCGAGCCAAGUUCGCCUUCUUCUCCCCCGGGUACAACGGCGAGGGGGUGGAGAAGCUUACCUUGGCGCUAGCCACCAGGCACAACGAGUACGGGCCGACGCGGGUACUACCCGUCGGCGCGGAGCGCGACCCGCAGUACUUCCGGGUGUUCGCGAGGUUUGUUCUUACCGGGUUCGUGCCACCGCACUCCUUCUUUCUUUCUGCCAUCAUGGAGACAUAUGGGCUCAUCCUGGCCCAGGUUCAUCGUUCAGCGCAUCCAAGAAUCUCUCUCGACGCUUGGCAUCCGUGUUAACCUCGUCCGGCGCAUAGCGGGUGAGACUGUUGAACUGGUCGAUGAACUCGACCACUGUGCGGCUUCUUCAGAUUAAGCACCCCCGCCGAGAUGUGGGCGGUGCGGAAGGCUUCUUGGAACAUAUCCCAUGUGACAUGCUCAAUAGGGGUGGUGAUCUGGUAGUUCUCCCACCAGGAUGCUGCUGGUCCUUCCAAUAAGUGAGCUGCAAACCGAACCUUUUCCUCCUCAGCGCAGUUGAUAGUCACUAGGUUCUUAUUUACAGAGCGGAGCCAGUCGUCUGCCAUGAUUGGCUCUGGUGAGCUGGAGAAGGUAGGUGGGCGCAAGCGCAGAAACCUUGUCAACAUGUCCACUUGAGGUGGAUGGUGCUGCUGCUUGUUGUUGGGGUUCUGCUGGUGGUUGGCAUUGUUGUUGGCUAACUGCUGUGUAAUCAUCUGAAAGAAUUGGGUCUGGGCAGCCAACAGUUGCUGCAUGGUGGCAGCGUUUCCUUCAGCUUCGGCAUUGUUAGCCUCAGCGUUGUUGGCGGGGUUCCGGCGUCUCGGAGGCAUCUGUUUAGGGUAGCAUAGAUGAGGAAACAGAUAGAAUAGAGCUAAGGAUAACUAAACCCUCAAAACAAGGUAGUAACUCAAACAUAUAUCAAUCAUACACUCAUCAAACAUAAAAGGUUUUGAAAAAAAAAAAUAGCAAAACACACUUGUUUAUGGUGGGACAUUGCCCAUAAAGAAAAGAGUAUGAGGAGAAAGCAAUCGACCUGCAUUGCCAUACACAUAGGUUGUAUGGUCAAUGACUAACUCGCACACUGAUAACGAUAAAAACUAAUAUAAGCUGGUAGGCAUCAAUAGAUCUAAGGGAGUGUGGCUGUCGGUGCGAUCCCGUUCGCCUUCAUCUUGGAGCGGGUGUUUGUAGCAGGGGUGUCCAUCUCGUGGACCUCCUGGGGCUCCUCCUCCUCAGUCGGCUCCUCCUCCUGAGGCUCCAUCUCCUGAUCCUGUGGUGGAGGUGGGACCUGGUCUGGUGCCGGUGCUGCAGCUGGUGCGGCUGCGGCUGCGGCUGCGAUGAACGCCUAGAACUGCUCGCAGUAGUAGCGAGCCUGGUCCCUCUCAUACUGCAGCUGCUCGAUGGCGUCUCCCAUGUUGAGGACAGUGUUCUCCAACACGGCCUUGUCCUCCAGCCACUGGGUCUUCUCUCCCAUCAGGUUACCAACAUGCUCCUCAGCUAGGUCGGCCCUUGUCAUCUCGUGUUCAAGGCAAGACUCCAAGUCCACAGUGUUUAUCUCCAUGUUCUCGAAGUGGGUCGUCACUGGGGUUGCAUCCUCGUCGUUGGUCGUAGCUACUGCCGAGCAUGCAAGAUUCCGCCUCCCAAAGAGGAGGAAGGGGGAAUCCUCAGGGAACUCGUGCCGACAGUCCCGGCACACCUGUGCGAAGGCGCACUGCAUGACGAACUGAAGGCCCUGCUCGAAGGUGGGGUAGCGGCCGAUGAAGGUGAUAUCCGGCGUAGCUGGCGCGAUCUCACGCCCCCGGAUCUUCGCCUCGAUCUCCCACCGUGGCUGCCAUCCCUCGGGUGCGGCGGUCUCGACUCUGCCUCUGAACCUGGGUGGUCGCAGGUCGAGGAAGGCACACAGUGCUGCCAAAGGGGCACUGAACAGCUGGUCGUCGUCCAUGGAGGGGUAGUAGACUCUGGUGAACGGCGGGACGUUGCCAAGGCUUCCCAUCUAUAGAAAAUAAAGAAGGUAGAUAAGGGAGUAUCAGUGACAUGAUCAAAUGGUCGAAUGUAAAUAAAAUAAAAGUGGUAGGUUGGGAAUCAAGUGAUGAACAAUAAUAUCAAGGGUGGAAAUGUAAAUAUAAAAUGGGAUGCAUAAUAAUAUGUGAAUAACAUGGCAACAUGAUAUAGUGAUGGAUGGUGUAAUAGUAAAAGAAUUAAAUAUGCAUCUGUGGUAUAUUAAAAGAACAUGCAUAUGUGGUAUAAAGCAUAGUAUUUGGUGUAUAUGCGGAAUAAAACAAUAAACAUGUCAUGCAUAUGUGAGAUAUAAAUGCAAAGAUUUAGAUGAAUAGGGAUAAGGAAUAAAAUGUAUGUAUAUAGAUAUAGAUCAGAUAGGGAUAAGAAAUAAUCCUAAGGUUUGGUCUUUGGUCUUGUCUUAUCCUAAUCCAAACUAGGGUCAAGUUCCUACAGGCAACACAUUGCUCUGAUACCAUCUGAAGCGAUCCCCCUUCACCAAGGGUUUGAUCUCUGUGCUUACUUGUGCUAGUCUCUGGAUCGACUCACUAGCACACACAGUUCAAGAUGUAAUACCAAGAUACAAAGGUCAAAAGUACUUUAUUACAUCGUAUCAUCCAGAACUCAAAUUGUACUUACAAACUUGCAUGACCUCCUAGGCCAGCAUAAACAAAUAGUGUUCAAAACCAUGAUAACAACGUAUCAUGAAGCUGCAGCGGAAAGGUAGAGUAAAAGGGCCUCAUCUACUCCGAGAGGAGAGAGCAUGUUGGAAUGACCCAAAGAAAUAUCGACGAACCUCACUCUUCGUCAGUUUCACCUGCAUUAUUAAUUGCAGCCACUACGUGGUCAAUACAUUUGAAUGUAUUGGCAAGCUCACUAGAGUUAUAAAGGACCUACCAAGUACAUGCAUAGUUUGGCUAAGUGGGGUUUGGCUAUUUUGCAUAAAAGCAUCAUUAUUCAAAUCCUAUCAUUUUUAGACAAAUAGCUUUGAAUUCUAUUGGACACGGGGUAGAAACACCCAUGCUCCUAUUAGCCUAGGCACAUUGAGUAGAUACAUCAAUGCUCCUACCCAGUUCAAUCCAUUCGUUUUAUUAGGAAAUUGGAAUGAGUGAGACUUUCCUUACAGCUCCAAUAUCUAGUUGCUCACAAUUGUCCGUAACCGGGGACACGGCUAAGUACUUAGUUUGACACUCUCGAGAGGUGGUACACUUUACCCACAAGAAUUCGACGUGUUAAUCCCUUGCUGUCCUCCGGGUGGAGUAGCAACGGCAUCGACUUCAAGAAUUUUCAGAACAUGUUCACCCAGACCACCUGAGGGACCCGUGCUCCCACCUACACAACUACCUCAGUACAAUCCCUCGGAUCUGGUAAACAUUUCUUACUCCAUCCAGGCAGAGCCCAUAUUACCAUGUGGUUGUACUGGAAGCUACUAAACAGGAAACUAGUCUAGUCUCUGGUUAUCCCGGGUGGCAUCCCACAUUGUGACGCAGGCGCUCCCCGAAUCCACGGGAAAGACGUCCAUGGACGAUCCAUUCCUGAAUCCACAGGAACUCGACUCAGAGGGACCCAUAGAACUGGACCUAACGUCACGACAUCCGAAUACUCAAAGCAGCCCACCCAGGACGGUUCAUUGAAUUACUUGUUUUGCCAUACACUAGGAAAACUAUGUUUGUAAUUCAAUAGUAUCACAUUGUAAUAAUACUACCCUCGUAUAUUAUCAUAGCAUAGCAUUUUACUACUACGAUGGCAAUUGGUGGUGAGGGUCAUGACAAAGGUAUCCUAUACUACUAGGACAUAUCAUAGCUAGCAUAGAUACAAUAAUAAUCUUAACAAUGCAACUAAUAAAAUCUAGUGCAUAAUAAAAUAAUAGGUAAAUGAUCAAAGUGAACUUGCCUUGAUAGUAGUUGGAGUUCAAACACUCGUCACAAUCGCAAGGUUCGCUCUCCGAGAAUACUAUACAAUCAACAAACAUAUACACACACAUAAACACACAAUACAAACAUGACCAAAAAAUAUGUAUGCCAUGAUGCGAUGCAAAACAUAUGACAUGAGUGGGUUGGUUUUAUUUGGGUGAUCUACUGGUCCAAGGCAUUGAUAAUUAAGCACAUGCAAUUAGGAUUUUUAAAUAAAUUGCAAUGGUUAGGGUUUAAACCCUAAAAUGAGGUUUUAUUGGUAUCAGCCAGAUAGAUUAGUUCAAAAUAUUUAUUUCUCUGUCCCAUUGGACAGAGGACAAGAAAACAAAAUUUUGGGCACUGGUUUCAUUCAAAAAGGACUUCUAGAUAAUUAGUUAUGAUUUAAAAGGCAUAAAACCCUAAUCUGCAAUUUGAAUGUGAUUCAAAUAUUCAAAUUUGAAAUUGGACAGUGCCAAAAGAUUCUAAAUUUCCCAAGGAUUCCAAAAAGGUGUGGAUCAUUAAAUUUGGCCAAACAGAUUUAAAGUUAUGAUCAUUUGAAGUUACAAGGGCUUUUCUGCAAAAGUGCCUUUUAAUUAUUCCGGGGAAAUAAAAUUACAUUUUCAUUUUAUAACUCGGGUGCCACGUGGCGCAUUAUUAUUGGACGGUACCGGUUCGGUUUAUAAAUAAAUCUGAGCCGUUAGAUCUAACUUAUAAAGAUCGGACGCUCCACAGUGCGUACCGGUUCGUUUUAUAAGUGAUCUAAUCCUAGCCAUCGAUCUAGAUCGGACGGACGAGGGGAGUUCUAGGGUUUUACCGGGCGGCGCGGGCUGCCAGAGUUGGAGGAGACGGCGGCGCAGGCACGGGCGUGGCGGCGCGGGGUGCUCCGGCAUCGCGGGCGGCUCGGGGAAGUCACGGGGAGGCGCGGCGCGGCACGGAGCGCUCGGUGACGGGGUCGGCGCGACUUCGGGAGGGCUGAGGGCUCGCCUAGGACGCGCGAAGACGGCGGCGCGGUCACCGGACUCCGGCGAGGACGAGCGGGCGGCGUCCGGAGGCUGCACUGCACGGGGGCGAAGACGGAGCGCGUCAACCGAAGCGCACGGAGGAGUAGAGGAAGAGGGAAAAGAAGAUGGCGGCGCUGAAGGGGCGCGUAGAGAUAAACAAAAAAAAUUCCUACGCGAACUCCCAAGAUCUAGUCGAGGUAGAAGGCCACGAGGAUUACCACUAGACGCGCAGUUGCGGAUUAUCGAUGCGGCGCCUUGAUGCAGUGUAGUCCCUCGAUCCGAUCCAGCCGAUCCAAUCCCGCGAUCGUCGAAGUGCUGAACGUACAGCACCUCUGCCGGUAUCCACACGUGCGAGGAGGAGCUCCGGCGGCGGACUGCUAGGUCCGGUGCGACGGUUGAACUGAAUCGGGCUAGGGUUCUCAACGCAUGAGAGUGGAAAAACCGUUGCCCUUUAGGCAUCCCACGCCCCUGCUUAUAUAUCGAGUGGAAGUGGGCUCCAAGCCUUGUGGCCCAUCCACCCUGCGAGUCCAACUCGCAUUGUCAGCCCAAUUCCAGUUCGGGUCCAACCCGACCAAAUACUUGCUCCCGCUCUUAAGUGUGUGACCCCGCAGGCUCAUGGCGACUUGGACACGAUUGGAGUCCGACUCACAAUCGAUCAAUCGGUAGCGGCUCCUAGCAGAACGUGCCGACUCCCAAGUACCAUCGAGUCAUGAUGACGUACCUUCCAAUGUGACAUACGUCUUAGUCCCUUUUGCCUCGCGAUAUACCUUGUCGAACUAUAGGCGAUUAAUCGUCAUCCCUUUAAUAGUUCAACUCUCUUCUCGAUCUGUGAUAUACGAUUCAUCCGACUAACUCUUAGUCGAUCGACCCGGUUAACAGUUAACCAAGUCGCGCAUGGCCAUGCUUCCCGAAUCAUAUCACUCGAGAGGGCCCAGAGAAUAUCUCUCCAGUCGUAGGGGCAAAAUCCCAUCUUGGUUAUCCACAUCACACAGCUUGAUUCUCAGUCAACCCGAACUCUGCCUUUAUAACUGCCCUGUUACGGAACAACGUUUGACAGAACCUAAGUUGGUGAUCCACAACUCGGAUUGUGCGAUAACCUCAGGUCUAAGGAUUACAUUGAUUGAGACAUGCAAAUGACGACCUACUCGUUGCAUCUCAAUAUGGGUCAGUCCGACUCGCUAAACUCUUUAGCCGAGUCCGUGUAAGCUGGAAUGACAUCACCAUGCCCAUGACAAGUGGAACCGAGUCAUCAGCCAACUUUCACAUUAGUCUAGGUUAUGUGUCCAGCACAACCUCAAUGACUAAGGACAAUUUAGUAUGAACAACAUGAAUACAUAGUUCCACAAUCAAAUCACAUAUUCAAUGAUACAUAUCAGAUGUUCAAACAAGGACAACUUAAUAAUAUUUAUGAAUACAUUGGGAAUUACAUCAUACAUGAUUGCCUCUAGGGCAUAUUCCCAACAGCGCUUACCCUUAGGGUUCACCGGAGACGGAGGAGAACGGCGGCGGCGCGGGCAAAGCUCCGGCGAGAAAUUUCUCGAGCCUGGGGGCGCAAUAGAGAGGGGAAAGAGGGGAAAGAGAGAGAGGGGCGCGUUGGCUUUAUAGGGACGCGGGCACGGAGGCGCGGGAGGCACGGGAUGCGGAGAUCACGGCGGUGACGGUGCGCGGCGGCGAAGAAGGAAGGUGGCGCGCGUCGCGGGCGCCUUCCAAACGGGGAAGAAGCCGCUGACAGGUGGGCCCCACCUGUCAGCGGGUGCGGGCGCGCGCAUGGAGCGGCCGGGCUGGCCGGGCCGGCGCGUGUCGCGGUCGGGCACGGUCGGACAGGGCCGGUUCGGCCCAAGGUGGUCGGGCCGGUCCGGUUUACCCCCUUUUUUUUCUUGCCUUUUCUUUUUCUGCUUUUCUUAUUUCUUUGAUAUCUUUUGAGUUUGAACUCCAAAUUGGUCCAAAUAAAAACCAAAAAAUUUGUAAAAUCAUGUCCUACCAUGAUACAACUUUUGGGAGUAGUUUCCCCUCAAAAUAAAAUAUAUAAAAAUACAUUUGCCCUGUAAAUGCCUUUAGGGCUAUAUAUCUAUUUGAAUAAAAUACUUUUUUGACUCCAAAUAAUUAACCAAAAAUUAUGGGAUAGCUUAUAUAUGCAUUAAACCCCUUUUAUACAUAAACCCUAUUGGUUUGAAAAUCCAAAGCUUAAAUGGGUGUAAACAAAGUCUUUUAGAGCCCUUUUGAGAUUCAAAAUUUGAAUUCAAAUAUGCAAUUGUGGCAUGAUGCUCAUGGAUGCAAUGCACAUGUAAAAGUUUGAAAUUUUGGGAUGUUACAGCCGGGAGAGGGGAAUGACCCAGACUGGGACUCCGCCAGGCCGGAGGACUCGGACUCCGGCGAUGACUCUUCUCUUGGCGUCGGAGGAAACUCCGAGGACAACGACGACGCUCCCCGGGAAGCUGGCGGGGGUGCGCCGGAGGAGGACGAUGACGACAAAGACGACGUCCCCCUUGUGAGACGGUCGGCUGCACAAACGGAAGCGAGCGGGAGGCAAGCCCACAGCCCCAAGCGUCUCUGCCGGAUGCGGGGACCGCUGUUUCCGCCGGCGGAGGGGCUACUACGGAGGCCACCCCUGCUGCCCCGGCGGCUCCGCUGGUUCCGCCCGCACGGAAGAGCAUCUUGGCGGAUCGGGUGCUCAAGCUCAAGCCGCCGGGGUAAUUUCACUUCCUAUUUAAGCAUUUUUGUUUCCUCGAUUUCCACAGGUUUUGUCAAUUUAUUUCUGCGUUUCCACAGGUCUUCAAAGAAGAAGGAGCAGCCUAGCACUUCGCCGGCAGCCCCGGCCAAAUAACCACGCCCGACAGCGGGUGGUGGUGAUAAAGACGCCGUUGACGCGACGGGAACAUCGGCAUCUGCCGCUGGGGAUACACAAAUCCUCGACCUUGGUCGGCAGGGCACCGGCCCAGGAGCAGGUACCCCCGCAACCUGGUACCCCUCAUUUUAGCUAGUCCCAGAAUUUGUUUCUUAUGCCAAGUCCCUUGCAGGGUCAGAGGCAGUCGGCGGGAGCCUCUCGGCAACCGGCGGCAACGUGGGCGACAGAGCCGCACACACAGCCGGGGACGGGACGCGGCAAGGUACUGCGUUGCUUCUUGCGAUGACUUUCUAUUUUGGAUUACAUUAUUCCCCCAAGCUGACGCAAAUGUUUUCAUGCAGUCGCCGGGGACGCUCCAUCUGCACCCGCAACAACUGAAAUGUGGGUGAUCGACCUCACCGGCGAGGUCGACGACGCCCCAGAGGACACCAUCUGAGAAGCGUCGCUGUUAGAGAAGCAAUGAGGGCCCAUUGACUAAAGUUUUGAUCAGGCUUCAUAGGGGAUAUUUCAGCAGUAGGGUUACCAUCAUUUGUAAACAUAAUAUUUCAGUGAGAUGAGCAGCGGUAGUAAGACGAAUAACAGUGUCGGGGUAUCCUUUGUUUGACAAAUUGCCACUGUGCUUGAACAAAUUUUAUGGUUUACAACAUUACGUGACUUUUGUUUAUGUAAAUGUUUUAUCAUUGUAUGUGUAAGCUAAUAACUAUGCCUGUUAUGAUGGAUAGUUGUUGAUUCUUUGUGCGCUUGUAAAUUGUAAUACACCUAAUUGAGUUGAGAUUAAUUUUGACGUGCGUUGCACGUGCAAUAUUACUAGUGAAUAAAAGGAGGGACUACGGUUGCAGGUGGAGUCAUGUGAUGUCAAGAAAGUAGAAGUGAAGCUCAUGAUUAAUGUUUCAAGUCCAAGGUACACGAAGAUUGGUGCAUGACAGCUUCAAGGUGGCGAGAGACAUAUUCACCAAGGUGGAGUUUGUUGAGAUAUGUGCCGAAUAUGUGUUCGAGUAGAUUAUAGUUGGACUUGGAAUUAGCGGAGGGUUAGGUGUUGGAGUCGAGCACGUGUAACCCGUGGCCUAAUAUAUAAAAGCACCGCUAGAUAGCCUAAAGAGACCAUGACAACAUAAUAGCAAUAGACUCGCAGGGGGAGCCGGUGACUUGUGCCGGUGUCCAGGGUGGCUGGUGUUGCGGUAUUAUGGGAGAGGAGCACACGUAGUCAUGUCCUGAGGAUAUAUGCUUCGGUCGAACCUCGUUAACAAAUAUCAUGUCUUGGUGUCAUCCUCGAUCGUGGUCCGCCGGAUUUCGUAACAAAAACAUAUCAGCUUUUAUGAAAAUGCAAUUAUAAAUUUUUUAAAUAAAUCUAAAAGCAAUCAGGAAUGCAUAGAAUUUCUCGUACACUUCCUAUCCUAAUAAAAACUAUAGGUUUUACAUUGGUAGUCUAGCCACCUCUUGGCACCAAAUAUCGUGCUUAUCUUGUAUAAAUAUUCCGUGCUUACUUCAAGGAGGAUGGGUGUGAAAGCUGCAUAAUCCACGCUUGGAUGUCUCUUUAGCUAUCUGCACAAGUUGUACCUAAAUAAUAUUUACAUGUUGUUAUUAUACAAAAUAACUCACCAUAUUUGCCAAUGAACCUUUUUAUUUUUGACAACACUAGGACACCUCAUGUUUUACUUGGGUUAUUUAUAGGGUUGGGUGCUUUGAGGUAAGCUCCCUGAGCUCUUGCCACCUUCCUUCCUUGUAUAGCUACCAUCCCCGUUAUGUAUGGUUCCUCCUAAAUCUCCUCCCAUUGCCCCUGCACUUGACCAUUUAGCUUUCUGCCUCGAAGGCCGGUGCAAAAUUUUAGGAGCCUCUGUGAGGUGUUUGGUGCUUGACACAAGAAUUUGGAGGCCUUCAACAAGGUAUGGUUCUUGUUUUGCUUUGUUUUUGGCAAGGAAAAAAUUGGAUCGUAUGUUCAAAUUCUCUGUGUUGAGAGAUGAAAACAAAGAUAAAGAUGGUGCAGAAGAAACAUACAAUUUGUUUUUUAUCAAGAAAUAUGAUGAGAUGGAAUUUGUUCUUUCUCGGUUACAUGCCCCCUUUAUGUUAUUUUUUCUCCGUCCAAUGUUCAACAUGAUGCUUUUGUUGGCACAGGUUGAUGAUCUAAACGAUAAGUUGUGAGAUACGCAAGGAAGCAAAUCAAUCAAUUAUCAAAUCAGAGAAAAAAGGAGAAGAGUUUGCAGCCCAGAGAUGGGGCUGUCGAUCUCAUACCCACCAGAUGACUACUUGCCAGCAAUGGAGGAUAACAUGGGCAGGCUGUUCAUCCGGUCUGUCAGCUUCAACGACAUGGAUGGCGCCGAGUCGCCGUCAGCAUUGCUUCCCCCCGUCUUCGCCUCCCCGAAGUUGGUCACAGAAAGAUCCCUGAGCUUCAAUAGAAGAGAGUCUGACCGAGUUCAGACAUCGGUGAGGACUCCCAAAUCUGACAAGGAGCCUAGUAUUAGUGCUGGGUCAUCGAGAUUCGGGCCGCUGACGGGAGAGUGCGCACCAGACUCUCCGGUGGUUGGAAUGGAGAGCUCCAAGCACCAGGCCGCCGCAGUCAGGCUGCAGAAGGUGUACAAAAGCUUCAGGACAAGACGUCAGCUCGCGGAUUGUGCCGUUCUUGUCGAGCAGCAAUGGUAGGAUUGUAAUGUGCUCCUUUUUGCAUUGGAUGCUAGUUUUUGACAAAAAUUGGAUGCUGAAUUCAGGUGGAAGUUGCUUGAUUUUGCACUGCUCAAGCGGAAUUCGGUAUCCUUCUUCGACAUAGAGAAGCCGGAGACGGCUGUUUCAAGAUGGUCUCGGGCUAGAAUCAAGGCUGCCAAGGUAGCGCUCUUAUUGUUCAGGUUAUGUGAUAGCAUCAUUACUGUAAUCUUGGCACAAAGUUAUAGGUUAUACGUGUCUGAACCCGUACCAUCGCGACCUUUGUAUCACCAGUCAUCUUGAAUAUGAUGCAUUGUUGACACUAUCACAUUUAGGUUGGUAAAGGACUGUCCAAGGAUGAAAAGGCCCAGAAACUUGCUCUUCAGCAUUGGCUUGAGGCUGUACGUGCCGCAAAAUACCACGUCUCCACACUAUCUUAUGAUGGCAUUUUUGUAGUGAAAACUGAAUUUCAUCUCAUGUCUGUUGUCAGAUCGACCCACGCCAUCGGUAUGGCCACAAUCUGCAUUUCUACUACCACCGGUGGCUCCAUUGUGAAAGCCAGCAGCCAUUCUUCUACUGGUAAAAACUCUGAAUACUAUUCUGGUCUGGUGUAGUCUAGUCUGUCUUUGAGCAAAAUAGGAAAGCAAAGCAAAGCAAACGUCACGGACAACUCAUGUGUUUUUAUCAGGUUGGAUGUAGGCGACGGAAAAGAUGUCACCUUAGAAGAGCAUUGUUCCAGACGGAAGCUGCACAAGCAAUGCAUCAAGUACCUUGGUCCUGUAAGUUCCACAAUUUUCUCUUCUGAUCCCAAGAUCUGAACCAACCAUUUGGAAGCUUCCUUCUAACAGGACACAUGCUGCUGGAAUUCUGCAGAAAGAGAGGGAGCCCUACGAAGUGAUUGUCGUUGACGCGAGGCUGAUGUACAAGGUAAGCCAUCAGAUCGUCGACACCACCAGAGGCCCCAAGGGAACAAAAUGGAUCUUUGUGCUGAGCACAUGCAAGGCCCUGUAUAUCGGUCAGGUCAAUGACUACUUGACUCACUUCUAUCGACGAAUUUAUUCAACCUUGGGAAUAUUCCAGUAACUAAUGAGAAACUGAAGUUUCCAACAUCAUUGCAGAAGAAGAAGGGCACAUUCCAGCACUCCAGCUUCCUUGCAGGGGGAGCCACAUCUGCUGCAGGGAGAUUAGUGGUAGAGAAUGGAACUAUGAAGGUAUCAAGGGGACUGUAUCUUUUCUUAAGUAUAUUAACACAGAAAUUGUUAUUCCCUGACUUGGGGGAUUGCUCAUUUCAGGCUGUCUGGCCUCAUAGCGGACAUUACCGGCCAACUCAGCAAAAUUUUCAGGAGUUCGUCAACUUUCUCAAGGAGAGAAGUGUGGAUCUUACAGACGUCAAGGUGAGGAGCAAAAUGUGAACAAUAAGUAACAUCUGAUCUGCCCAUGAUUGAUCAGAAAAGAUGCUGACAGAGUUCACUCCAACUGAUAUUUGUUGCCAGUUGAGCCCAUCAGAAGGCGAAGGCGAAGGCGAAGGCGAUGCUGAGUUCAGCUUCAAGAGUAGCAACUCCCAGGUGGACUUGACCGAACUCAGCCAACCAGAAAAUAAAGUAGACGAGGCACAAGUGGCACCAUGCAAUGGCACCGGCGAAACCGAGAUAAGCAAUGGCAGCAUGCCCACCACUGCGAUAUCCAAUGAACUCAGAGCAAGCACACCAAGGAUCGUGGAGUCCUCCACAACCAAUAGGCUGCAAGGGAAGCGGCCAUCCAGGCUGCUCAUAAAUUCUUCUAACAGAAUUCUACCCACUACACAGGAUAAUAGAAGGACAUCACCGGACGCCAAGGACAUCAAUGAGGAUUCUGCCAUGUUCAGCGAGUGCCUAGACUUCUGCAAGAAGAACCUAUUUGCAGAGGUCGAGGAGGAGGAGGAGGCGGGUGAGCUAGUGGAGGUGCCGGAGGAGCUGAUCCUGCGCCGCAUAACCUCCAAGAAGGGCAUGAGAUCAUGCCAACUGGGGAAGCAACUGUCCUUCCAAUGGAGCACCGGGGCAGGGCCUCGGAUCGGGUGUGUCCGUGACUACCCACCGGAGCUCCAGUUUCGGGCAUUGGAGGAGGUCAGCCUGUCACCGCGAAGCAGUAGGCCAAUGAGGUUUUCAUCGCCAAGGCCAAGCAUGCUGACACAAAAUACUGCAAAGGUCGGUGGUACUCCUAUUUUCCAAGGUGGCGGCAUCCACAUGAUACCCAAGUCUAGGCAGAGGAGUGUCACUUGGACUGCUUUUUGAUGGUCAUGCGACUGAAAUAAACUGUACAUAGUGAGAGGCAAAGGUGAGAGAAAAUGAUUACUAGGUUACAUUUCUUCGGUAGGUUCGGUAGAGAAAAUACAUCAAAAGGAUGUAUCUAGUACCAAAGUUGCAAGUCUUGUCAGUUGACAAACUAACAGGAUGAUUCAGAAACUGUGUUUUUGGAUUGAAACAUAUGCUCAGAAGCUGUAGAACACAACAAUCUCAAAAAUCAAAACAUCACCUCCAAAGAGGACAAGGAUUCACUAUGAGAUUAAUCAGUCAAUUCAUUUUACCCUGAUGUGAAGGAACAUGAUCAAUAUCACAACAGGUGCACUUAAUUUCGGCAACAGACCAAAACUAAACCAGGAAAGUACCUCAUUAAAUAUCCAACCCCAAGCCGAGGCCUAAGACAUAACCAGUGUCCAAGAACUUGAUUGGAAAGCAGUACACUAAAGAAGGCAACAACCCAACAUUUUACUUAUCCGAGGUUGUUAAGUACAUUACAGAUGAAUUGGGAGGGUACAUUCUGGGCACAAUCUAACAAUACCUGAAAUGACAUCUUAAUAUCUUAUCAGUCGUUGAGAAGCAAUUUCAGAAUUCAACUGUUUUCUUUACAGAAAUUGUUGCAACCACUGAUGUUUUUCUCUAGUGAAAUUCGCAAGAUCUCUCGAGUUGGUUGGUCUACCAGCCGAUAAUGUUAUAGUAUAAUUUUUUUGAUAAUCUUAUAAUACAAUAACAAAUCUCUUCAGUCUACCAUUCUAGUAUUUUGCGCCAACUAGCAUGCUGUAUAAGCAAGGAUUCGACUCCUAAGCAGGGGUCACGAGCUCCGUCAAGGACAACUGGCAGCUUCACACAUCAGAAAUCCUGGUGUCUCAGGUACCUGAUUGUAGCUCACGAUUGAUUCCCCGUCUCAAUGUCUCGAUUCACAUUAUCUGAUCGCUGUGCAGGAGAUGAGUCGCCCUGUAUACAGCAAGCGGGUGAACCAGCCUACAGAGUAAUUCAACAAGGGCAUAGGUGCAUAGUGUCAGAAUACUACAGCUCAUCAUACCAUCCCAAAGUCUUCAGAUUCACCAAGGCAGUUAGGUGUUUCAGCAUUUGCAGUUCCUGGCUCUGGAGAUGGCAAGGCAGAAUGCUGCAAGCAUGGGUGGGAAUUCACUUUGUCAACAUGGGCAUAGAGCUCCAGAAAGAUUGUAGCACGCUUGAGAAUUACCAGAAUCAGAUGGGACUUGCCUUAAGGAGCACUGGGCUUUGUACUUCUUUUCUGACUGUGCCAAUUUCCAACUUAUAUUCUACAUUUACAGUGGUUGUAGAAGUGAUAAAAAAGAGCAUCAUGAUUGUACACAAUUCAUAUUUCAUAAAUGAAGCAUGUCAUGCACAUCUGAAACAUCAACGGGCGGUGGUACAUAUAUGACUUGAUUAAUUUACAUGAUGCUAUUCUCAGGAUAAUAUACCAAACAACUGAUUAUAUCAUUGGAAACAACGUAGCCAAUUGCUUUGAUGGACUAUACGCAGAAUGUUCCACUUGGCAUAAAGGAAGUUGAGAAAUGUGAGCGGAAGUGCAGCAUUACCAGAUGGACAAUAUUGUUCAAUUCACAGCCAUGUGUUGACUUACAUUCUAAGCCAUCUUUAAUACCAUAUGUAGUUACAUAAAAAAAUAUCUUAGAAAGUUUCUGUGAAAAAAUUUCCAUGGCGCUCUUUAAGAGUUGAUGAAUUACCUGCUUCAUCAAUUACAGGUACCAUCUUAUGCCCAUUACGUGGAUCACCUUCACUACCUGGAAUACUAUUUGUUUCGCAAUCCAAUAUUAACAGCAUGAUAAGGUUAUGCUGUUAUUGCAAAUUCCAAAUUUUGAAUGAAGCUCUCACCUUUCUAACUCUUUGCUCACAUUAUCUUGUAUUUCCUGACUCUCAGAGACCGGUGAAAACCUUUUUGCUCCCUAGUAUAUAAUUAGGAGAAGUGGCUAAGAACUGCAAUGCUGGUAACAAGAAAUGCAUAAACGAGUAAAUAACAUUUGUGUCUUGCCUGAUGUCCAAUAUUGCUGAUUAUGUCUUGAAAAUUCCGUAAAGCAAUUUCCAUGUUGUGAAGCUCCAUAAGCAUUGCCUGGAUGAAGAAGAACAGACAAGAUCAAUCUGACUUUCUGUAGUUUCAGAGACAAUAGGACAUGUAUGACAUCAUAAUAGAAUGACCUGCUUAUCUUUAGUCAGCCUCUCAAUGAUCUCAUCCUUCACCAGCAGGGCUUUCGUAAGGUAACAACGUUAAUGAAAAACAACAAAGCAUGGCAUUGGUAUGAAUAGAAAGUAAGAAUGAAUACGUGCAAUGCUUUUCACAUCGUAAUGGAUAUUUCUUCUAGUUGUGGGUGAAAAUUGUUGUUAAGCUUCUCAGCAUCAAGUUGUCCCUUCAAUUCAUAUAUGAUUCUCGCUCGAUUUCGAAGUUCAAGUUGGUAACUAGUUAUUUUGUCUCCCAAGAAACUAAGUUUCUCUACAUAAAUGAAUAACCAGAAUCAGAAAAACGAAUAAAAAUAGAUUGUCCACAUACAUGGUAACCAUAAUUGCUGUAACAUUACAAUUUGAGACUAAUGAAGCCAUAUUACAAGAAGCAAACAUACCAACAAAAUCUUUCUCGAGUACAGAAAUCCUUUGGACCUUACCCUUCAAAUCAGAGACUGAAAUAAUAAUGUGCGGAGAAUUAGUGCAAAAAUAAUAAAAUAUAUUGGUUGAUGUUAUAGCCAUAAAGUUCUAUUUGUGUCCAUACCUAUAUUUUCCUUCUCACAAACUAGACAUUCCACAUCACCUAGUGCUUGUUUCACUGCAGCAACUUCCUUUCCUACUGAACUGAACAAUGCCAGAUGAGAAUUUAGCUUUUCUGAAAUUACAGCAAUCUGUUUAUCCUUCAACUGGAUUGUCCAUUGCAGAGAACAAGCAGAGUCCUGCCUAUCAAACACGGUAUAGCCAAACAUCAGUUUUGCUAACAUACACAGUUUAGAACUCAAGGCUAUGUAGCAUAUACUAUUCAUACAAACAAAAAUAAUGUGGCAUCGGCAAAACGAAAUGGUAUUAAAUCUUUAGAAGUUCCUGCAUGCUACAAACCAAUGAAUGCUUCAUGUCAAGAUUAUAAAUACCCAAAGGCAGAGAAGGAGAUGACAGACAGUACACAAUGUACACAAGACAAGAUCGCAGCUGGUAACGAAAAUCAAAGAAAGUGGUACACUAUGAUCUCACACUCCUAGAGUUGUCCAUUUUUAUAUCAUGAUGAUGUAAAAAAAAUUAACAGAUAGAUGAAGGGAGCCUUGCAGGAAUAUGCGACUACCACAGAGACGUGAAAACGGGACAGACAUAAAAGCAGAAACAUGCCUCAUAAUGUUUCAUGAAAGUCUCCCUUGAUUGAAGCAGCCUCUCCAUGCUUUCUUUCAAAUCCUUUUCGUUUCUCCCAAGCAGCUCGUUUUCAUUUUCAAGGCACUUUACCUGUACAGUAAGAAAACAACUGUGAUGACUCUCCCCGUGCAAAUAAAUGAUCCCACACAAGGGGAAGAUUCGAGAAUUGGCUAGCCGCUAUUGCAUCAUGGAAAAUUCGAAACAGUAUUGCUUGUGUCAGAUCAGCUUUACACCAGGAUAUAAACCAAUGUCAUGAUUCAACAAAUCUAAACUUUAUAGACAUAUGUAAUCUAAAUUCUAAAAUGCCGCAAACCAGGGGUCUACGUGAAUUGAAACACAGCAUGCAGACGCCAGGAGGGUAAAACUGAACAAUUCCAAUACAUGCCACGAGAACAGCUACUAGCUAAAGGCCGAACCGGGGAGAAUGGAGGCAAGAACUAAGGAGCACGAACCCUGGACUCGAGCCUCCGCAGUGCUUCAUCCCUGGCUGACACCUCCGUUCGCAACUCCCGCGUCUCCCGCUGUUGUUCCUCCUCUGCCUCCUUCCAUCUCUGCACCAUCCAUCCGAUUCCACCCAAAACCCCGUUAGAAAAACAUGAAUCAUUAAAUUACAAAAACCAUGAGAACGACAGCACCAAUCGAAGCCUACGCGAGCCGCAGAGACCUGGCUUGCUGCGUGGAUUUCCUCGCGGGCGGCCCGCUCCCGCUCCUACGAAGUUUGGGGAGGGAGAGAGGGAAAGGAAGGGAGGGUUAGGACCUGAGAGAUUCUAGACGGUUCUAGAGAGUGGUGGGGUGACUCACGCGGGUGAGGCGGAGAUCCGAGACGAGGGCGAGAAGUUGGAGCUGCAGUUCCGACAUCGCCGCCGCCGCCGCCUGCCCCUCCAUUGCGCCGGGGCGAAAGACCGUUUCCUUCCGUUCAGCUACUCUGCUGAUCCAACGCCACUUGCAUUGAUCUGCAAACAAGACCGUUUUUCAAAGGAGUAUUUUUCUUAAGCAACUAAUUAGUUUAUGUCCUAAUAUUUUAAAAUGCGCAUCGAAGAAUCAAUUCUAUUUUUCUCAAAAAAAGAGUAUAAUUCUAUAUAUAUUUCCUCCGUCCAACAAAGGAUGUCUUAAUUUUUACUAAAUUUGAAUGCAUCUAUACACUAAGUCAUGUUUAAAUACAUCCAAAUUUUAACAAACUUGAGACAUCUUUUAUUGGACGGAGGAAGUAUUCGAUUUUGGCAGGAUUUUCCGGUUGUCACAUUUUACAAAAAGAACCUUGUCAAAAGGUUUUUUCUUGACUCUUGCUCUCGCUGCUCCUUUGUUUCUUCUCUGGUUCUUCUCAACCAUAACUAGCGCUCUGAAUAGAUCCGUAGGCUCGUCAGCAAUGAAGUGAGGGGAGAAGACAAAUCAGCUGCGAUAGCGCUAAUGCGUCAUUAGUAGCGUCUCCUCCGGUGGUGCAUAUCCCACUGGGUUAUUGCCUCUAGUAGGGUUCCUAGGCUUAACAACGGCAUUGACACCAACAUUUUGCCGUACUAGGGCCACCUAGCUAGACGGAGCCCCACAUAUUGAUUAAUCUUUGUCCGUUGUCUGUCGCCUAGCUGUCUCGCCGGACUGCUCACCCCUUCGUUCGCGUCUCGCAGCCACCUCGGCGUUGCAGGGACAAUGAAGAAGGAGACUAGGAUGUCGAAUGGGAAAGCAGGGAGGUUUGUGCAAAAUUUCCAUUCAACAAAUUAUUUAAUGUGUGCGAGCGUACCGACAUGGCAAAAGUCAACAUGCCACAUCAGUUGGUCAGACGAGGUCAAACGAAUCUAGGAUAGUUAACCAGUAAACAAAUAAAUUGGGACUUGGAUGUGCAUUCUGAAAGGCUUAGGACAGAGUUGGCUCUUUUCUUAAAAAACUAGGAUCCCAACACAUUUACACUUUUUAAAAAGUGGAGAUGAAAAUGAUUCAAACCAAAUCCUCUUUUUUUAGCUCCGGCGUAAACUUGUGAAUGAAAGUGAAUCACUUUUGUAUCAUUGAUCGAGACAUGAUCUAUUUAUACAGGGUUUAGGGAUGUCUAAGAGGUGCCUUUGUAGAAAGAAGACGUACGAUGCUCGUAAGGCCUGUACAUAAUGGUAAUCCUAACCGCUAACUUUAACAAUCUCUUUUUUCUCUUGAGAAUUCCUUGUAUAAUUUUGACAAACUUGUUACAGUAACCUUGAGGAUCUCCUAGAAAACACUGUAGGAAAAAUAUAAGGAGAAAUAUAGAAAUUUUAAUGUAUCACUGAAAACUCCUGGAGAAAAUGAUAAAACAUAUUUAUGACAUCUAAUCCCUUCCACUAAAAGAUUACAGUAAAAGAAGGCGCGUUACUUUUUUUCUCCUUGAUGUUCUUGAUUUACCAUUAGUCAAGUUUACAGAAAAAUCUACAGACAUAUACAACUCCACAUUAGUUUUAUUAAAUCCGUCGUGAUAUAUAUCUUUAUUGUAUAUUUCGACUUACCCAUGCAAAAUCUAUAAAGGCAUGUUUAGAAGUUUUUUUUUUAAAGGAAUAUCAUAUGUUGGAGGUGUGAUGCAAAUGUGCAAAACAGAUUGGUAUCAAUUUUAUAUGAUCACUCACAGCACUACUGUAGUCAAAUUUCACCUUGUAUGGCAUGUAUCUUUCAUAGCACCAUACUACUGUAGUACUCCCUUUGACUCAUAAUUCUUGUCGUGUAUUAUCAUGUUUUUCAUGUAGUAACGAGGUACCAUACUACUAUAAUACUCCCUCCGUCUCAUAAUUCUUGUCGUGUAUUAUCAUGUACCAUACUACUUGAACUAAAAUAGCGACAAGAAUUAUUGGACCGAGGGAGGGAGCACAAUAUAGCGUGUAUUAUCAUGUUUUUCCCGAGUUAUGGCCUGGGCAAAUGUGCCAUGGAUUGAUGGAUUUAGGUUGGAUUUUUGCUCUUUGAGAACUAGUCACUAACAUACUACUGGCAGAAUUGUCAAUAAUUUUUUCCCACACCGUCUAGAUUCUAUAACUAUAUCGGCUACGAUGAAGGCUGCAUUUUGUGAUUUUUGCUUGAGAAUCAGAUUUCUGUAACUUAUUAUGCCUUGGUAAUACUGAACCUAAAAUUGUUUCUCGUGCAGGGAGAAAAAGAGUACACACCAGCUCCUAUGCUAUAACGAAUGGUUCUAAAAAGAUUGACAGCUUUAGAUGUGUCGCACUUCAUAUUUUCAUUCGGCUUUAGCUUUUUUUUAUUAGUGCUUGCAACGCUUCAAACAUUCAGUUAUGAUUUACACAACUAACGUCAAAAUGUUCUUUCUUUGGCAAGUGCACUUUGAAAAGGCUUAAUGCAAAGUAAUGUCACUUGCUUAUAUCCAAUCAAGAAUUAUGAGAAUCUCACUAUAUAACAAUAUUUGUCUUCAUUCAAAUUUAACCUUUGUUUAUAUUGUCUUGUGCCAAUUUUUAUCAUUCUAUUGUUAAAAUAGACGGGUGCGACAACGCACGCCAUCAUGAUCUAGUAAUCAGCGCAAAAGAGCAGGCUUACUCUCCGAUCCAUGGCAAGCAUUAAGUACUUUUAACAGAAAAAGGUAACGGAGAGUCAACGUCAGUGGUAUAAAAUCAGAGCAAUAAUGGUUGUUCAUGUAGUAAUGGCGGGACAUAGCCAUUGUAGAAGCAAAUACGGAGUACUCCAUACAUGAGGGUUUUUACGGUACCCCUAUGCUGCCAGGGAGGAGGCAGUACAGAGUCUAUCUAGCCGUCGAUUUUUUUUUUAGCAUUUUAGAUUUUCACCCGUUUCGUUUCCUUGUUUUCUAAUUAAGUCCAUAAUACUUCUAAAUAGCUGUAUAGCACCAAACGUAGGAGGCAGGACGUCGUUCCUCGCCGGCCGGGAGAUGAGGCGGCUUGGUGGCGGCUAGGGCACGGCGCGGGACGAGAGAGAUUUGUUUUUCAGGUUUUGGCCUCCGAUCCCACCCAACUGUUCAAUUGAACUAUCUCCUGCAAUCCCGUUGUAGCGUUGCUGGUGCACUCGUCCGCACCGGACGCCAUCGAUCAGUGUAUUGGUCAACUCUACGAAGAGGAAUGACACAAAACCAUCCAGUGCUCAAAUCUUCCAAUGAUCAUGGAGUCGAAGCAUGAAGGAUUGGGCACGACUGCAAGAAACAUGCCGAUCGACUGAAUAUGAGAGGAGUUCGAGCUUGUCCAACGCCGUGCUAUGCUGCUUCAUGCGAGUAUUGGGAUUCAUGGCCCUCGUCUUGUCGCAGUUACAGAGCCGCCGGCGAACCGCCAUCUGCUUCCGUGCCCAUCUUGACGGAGUGGCCGAACGGCCCGAGAUGAACCUACACGGCUGCGCGGUGCUUGCCGGCCACGGAGCGGACGAGAGGUGGUAAAGACAUCUGCGAUACAAAUUUACUAUCUAGACCGUGGUCAAAGUGGGAAUUAUUUUUCUGCCUCGCCGAUUUUUGCCUGCCUCGCCGAUUUUCGUGGAGCAAUAUCCGUGAAUACUGGUCAUACUCCUAGAGCAGUAUACGGGGAUCUAGACCAUUAGAUUGUUGGCAAUGAACGGUUAAUAUUCAUCCCAGUGUACCAUAGAAGAACUCUUUUUCUCAUUAGUUAACAGAAAGACAUAGUCGGCGGAUUGUACAUUACUAUGUGUAUGUAGCCGGCCGGCCGGCCCGUGCUAGCAUGCUCCUGGAGACCUGGACAUAUAUACAUCGGUACAUACACAAACAUUGAGUCACAGACAAAACGGAGAAAUAAACCUUGGCAAACAAGGUUGCCACCAGUGACCAAACGCAACACACUUCAUAUAUGAGCUGUUGUUUCAACUUGCGGUUUAGGCCUUGCCGGACUCCUCGCAGCCAGGUGGCUUGAAAGCGAUGAAGCUGAUGCACUGUACUUGCCUGGUGUUGUCGAAGCCGAUGAUGCGGACAUAGGCGCCAGGGUAUUCCUUCUUGACCUCCUCCAACUCCUUGAGCACCUGCGUGGCGUCAGUGCACCCGAACAUGGGAAGCUUCCACAUUGUCCAGUACCUCCCGUCCUAGUACCCUGGGGAGUUGCCGUGCUCACGGAAGACGAAACCGACCUUGCUGAACUCGAGGCAAGGAACCCAUUUGGAGCGGAUGAGAUACUCGAUCUGCUUCAGGAGGGACUCCACGGUGAGAGGUGGCAGGUAGGAAAGGGUCUCGAACUUCUUGAUGCCCUCAAUUGGCCACACCUGCAAUUAGAUUAAAAUUAGCACACAAAGUGUGAUUUGAGACACAUAUCGAUGGAGUAUUUCACUUCACACAUAUCGGUAUGAUGAUAUACAUACCUGCAUGCUCGUGAUCCUGCCACCGUUGGAGACGCUGCCGAGGCCAGCGCCGGCAGAGCGGCGGCUGACGGGGAGCCCGGCGGUGGACUUGAGGCCCCGGAAAGGAGCAACAGCGGUAGCCGCCGCCGACAUCACUGUCGGACCCAUAGCAUCCACCCUUGUAUCACUAGAGUAUAUCUACUUAGCUAAUAUGCUAAGUUUGGCACGGAGAGAGGAGGUCGAGUGGACUUCAUUCCUGGUCACAAGGGUUUAUAUAUACCAUAUAACAUACGAGCAAUUUGUGAUUAAUUUGUUGUCGUUCUAGGAGAUGUGGAAAGGGUGGAUGCCGUUCGUUGGUUGCCUUAUCCGUUCUAGAGAAGGGAUGGAUGACCGACGCUCGCUCAGCCGUCUCCUUCGUCCAUCGUUGCCAAUCUUUCUAGCUAUAAUUGGAAGUUCCAAAGGAACAUACGGUUUCAUGCCUACUUCCAUCGGCCUAUCAUGUACCAAUCCAAUAAAAGGACAUCGUUCAACCAUCAAUCCAUGUGUGUGUAGUAAGUGAUUGGCUACGAACCUUCAGCUGACUUGCUUUAUUGGAUAUUUCUGUAAAGCGAGUCCACGGUGUGUGGGUUUAAAAUCUCGUGGCGGCAACUGUUGACGGGUGCAAAUAUCAGUAGCCUUAAAACAAUAAACUUUACUCCGUCCCUUCCGAAAUGCAAGAAUGUCCUAAGUCAAACUUCUUAUGCUGCAGGACCAUAGUUUUUGAGGUGUUCUUCUCACGAGUCCACGAAGAACGGGAAUUUUUUGGUGUCGGGUAAGGGCGGGGGAAUAUAUAGAUGCUAGCAUCAGCAUGACGGGCUAACGGGUCAGGUAGGAUUUUGGACGACGUAGCACCUGACAUGUGGGGGCCACAUGUAAGAAAACCUGUCAAAAUGUCAUAACCCUCUGUUUUGGUCAACUUGAUACAAUCUGAUACAAAACGUGUGGUUUUCCUGACAAAUUAGCAAAUUUUGUGUCUCUGUGAGAAGCACGCCCCAAAAACUGUGGUUCCGUGAAAUUUAUUCACUAGUUACACUUUAUCUACAAACAUCUACGAUUCUAAAAUAGUUUGGUAUAUAUUUUCCGUAAUAUAAUUAUUUGAUAUUCUAAAUUCGGGGAUUUGUUCUUAUAAACUUGGUCGAAGUUUAAAAAGUUUGACUUCGGACAAAGUUACGACUUUUUACAUUUAGGAAUGAAGGGAAUACAUUUUAGUAAAGCAAUUGAGGAAUUGACAGAAUUAAAUAUCUUAAAUUAUACUGGUCCAUCGUGUACUCAUGGCAACAAAAUAAAUUUAUAGUCGAAAAGUUGGACCAUGAAAACUUAAAACGUGAUACAUUAAAAUUGUUGAAUCACUCUACAUCUUGUAAUUUUCUCUUGCAACCUUCUGGCGCGCUACUCAUUCCACAUUUGGUACUAUAUGUAUAAAUGUAUAUAUAUACCGCAUUAGGAGCCUCUAUUACUGUUUUAGUAUAAAUAGCAGUUUCCAUCGACUAUGCACUUCAUUAACUUUUUCUUCACGAGAUAACUUGCUUAUCGAUUUUCUUUAAUUAUCCAGAUGGCUUCUACUAGUUUGUUUCCUUGCUUACUGGGAUUUCCGCAGACUUUACGGUUAGGUAUUAUUGUCGUGUGGACAACACGGUGGCCGGAUGUUGAGAUGAUGAUGUCCUUUAUCUCCGUGUUGCUUCUGAGGACUGCGGAUCCGAGGCUAGUGGCGGUAUGGGAUGCCUCUCUACCUCUUGAUCAGGUCAAUCCGGCUCAGCAAGAGGCGGAUCGAUGGUGGCCGGUGUGACUAGAAGCGGGGAGGUAUAUAUGAAACGUUUCUUGCUUCCAGCAUCUCUUCUAGCGGUAUAUAUGUCGUCAGCUGGUUGAGGGAUUGAUGGCAAUCGAUCAUGGCUACGAUGACAUGUAUACGCGCCGGUAGGAACACAUAUCAGGCAAUGUCGAUGCACCUGCAUUGGGCCCUUGCUGAAGGUGGUGGUGCGUAUGGCAGUCUAAAGAUUUAAGACACAAAUUUAGACUUAAAACUUAAAUAAUCAAUUUGUGCCAGCGGGAAACACACAAACACGUACCGGUAAAUUAUCAUAAUCAGAAUUUGUCGACGAAUUUGAUAUUCUUUUACAAAAUAUACUUAUCUUAAUAUGUAUAACCGGAGUUUAUAUUACAUGCCCCUCUCCCAACGAUAGUUGUAGUACUCUUAUAAUAGUAGUACUCAUGAAUACAGUUAAUCCGGGUUGUUGGGAGAGAUCACAUGCAUAAAUACAACAUGAAACAAACGUGUGAAAAAGGUACAUAAAAUCGGUGUGACCCGUUCUUGUAUUAUAAGAAAUCAACUUGCUUAGGCCUUGCCGGACUCCUCACAACCCGGUGGCUUGAAGGCGAUGAAGCUGAUGCACUGCACUUGCCUGGUGUUGUCGAAGCCGAUGAUGCGGACAUAGGCGUCAGGGUACUCCUUCUUCACCUCCUCCAGCUCCUUUAGCACCUGCGUGGCGUCGGUGCACCCGAACAUGGGAAGCUUCCACAUUGUCCAGUACCUGCCGUCGUAGUACCCGGGAGAGUUGCCGUGCUCACGGAAGACGAAACCGACCUUGCUGAACUCGAGGCAAGGAACCCACUUGGAGCGGAUGAGAUACUCGAUCUGCUUCAAGAGGGACUCCACGGUGAGAGGCGGCAGGUAGGAAAGGGUUUCGAACUUCUUGAUGCCCUCAAUUGGCCACACCUACAAUUAGAUUAAUAAUUAGCACCGAAAGUAUAAUUUGAGACACAUAUCAGUAUUUCACUUCAACAUAUGUACAUGAUGACAUACAUACCUGCAUGCACCUGAUCCUUCCACCGUUGGAGACGCUGCCGAGACCAGCGCUGGCUGAGCGGCGGCCGAUGGGGAGCCCGGCGGUGGACUUGAGGCCCUGGAAAGGAGCAACGGCAGUAGCCGCUGACGACAUCACUGUGGGAGCCAUCGUACACGUACGUAGAUAGCUAACAAGAGGAGGCAGGCUUGCUUGAGUGCUCUCUAGCUACAGCGGCUUAUAUAACUGUAGGCUCCCCACCCAUCCAAUAUCAGCACAAGAUCUAGGAGGGGUGGCUGCAGUUCGCCGCGCGGAUUUGCCCAGGCCACGCUGGCAUCCUACGGAUCAGGUCGGGCGCCACAUGGCCGCACGAAAUGGCGCGCGUUAUCCUCUGGACGGAUACAAUUGGCUGCAACGCACUCUGCAAAUCAUGCCAUGAAGUGACCAAUUUUCACCUAUCAGGAUAGAUCCAAUGUGCCACGGCAUGCACUCAAAAACAGAACUUGCUAAUCCCUCCAAUCCAUAAAAAAUCUCGCCCACUUAUUAGAAAAUUUGUAAUGAGUUAAUGCAAAAUGAGCAGCACUUUUUAUGAACUAGAGGAACAACAAAUUAAGAGAAACUCUUCUAAGAUCUUAUCGAGAACGAAGCUUGCCCCCGCGUCGCUCAGUCUGGGGCGACACGGGCGGCAACCACACCAGCCCCGGCAGCAGCCUCUCCCCGUCCUCUCCUCCCCCUCGCCGCCGCCGGGCAAAGCCCGCACGGGGACGGCGGCGGCGGGGCUGUUUUUCUUGGCGGGGGUGUCCUAGAGCUCUUGGCUGAGGCGUUUGAGGUGCUGCCUCAUCGUGGUCGCGGCGUCUCCGGCCCGAUCCGGCAGGCUAUGCCUCGUCUUCGGCUAGAUCCGGCCGGCUUCCUCCCGGAUCCGGUGUUUCCCCUCGUUCUUCCUCUCCCUGGUGCUCGGUCUGCUCGUGGCUGCGCGGCUUCACGGCGGCGCUCUUCGGCCGGAUCUAGCUACUCGUUGGCCAGAUCCGUCAUCUCCUCCGGCUGAUCCGGCAUGUCCCAGGUCUCUUCGUUUCCAUCAUUUUUCCUCUCAGUUUGGUGAGGCGGCUGAUUGAACUUCACCGGCGGCAGAUGGGCUGCUGCUGCGGCCAUACAUGGUCCAAGUCGGUCCUUUUCGAUGCCAUGGUGGCGUGGUUUUCAUUUUCGGUCGCGUCUUCGGCUGCUGCCCGUGUGCGAGGUAUGGACGUCGGCUCCGGUGUUUGGAGUGUUGCUCUGGAUGAAAACUGCCCGUGUGCGAGGUAUGCCGAAGACAACGAUGUUGUAGCGCCGUUUUCCUUCUUGGAGGUGUCGUCGAAGAGCUUCACUUUCCCUCACUUUGAUGUUUGGUGUCUUCGGGUGAAAACCUAAGAUUUGGCUAUGGCCAGAUCGGGCGACAACGGCGUUUUUACGUCGAUUUCCUCCUUGGGGGCGUUGUCAUGGAGACAACGACUCUUGGUGGCAUCGGGUGGUGUGGUCCGUCUAUGGUGGAGCUUGUUGUCUCGAGUUGUUGAAGGUUUGGUGGUGUCUCUUCUUGUGUCAUGUGUUAGCUUAGGCUGUCGGUUUGUGUCCGGCGAGAACGUGCGUUUCUUAUCCUUUGGUGCGGUUUCGGCAUGUGAUGCCUUUCGUCUUCACUAUCGUCACGUAGGUGUCGUGUUGUAUUCUCGGUGGUGUGUGGUCUUUCGGCUUAGCCAACGGCAAGUGGAGGUAUGAUCUCGGUUGUGUAUUGCCCUUCGACUUCAUCGGCGGCACAUCGGCGUCGCGGUGGGUCUCAGUGACGCGCAGCCCUUCGACUCUGCCGGCUACGUAGGUGUCAUGGUGCGGCCUUGACCCUGUGCUUCCCUUCAGCUACGGCGACGACAUAGUGUCUGGGUGGGCUCGUCAGAUCGACGCCUUUCGACUACAUCAACUAUGCUCUUCAUUGUGCAUUUAUUUUGCCAUUGACAUGUUUCAAGAGUCUAGGUUUUUUCCUUGUGUUUCUUUUAGCAAAUGCUGUUCUGCAGGCUGGCUUUUGCCCACCCGAUCAGAAAAGAAAAACAAAUUAAAGGCUAAAAUCAAGCGAUGUUAUAUUCCCUUAGCUAUUACAAAUAUGGAUGAUAAGAGUUAUUUAUCCUUUUUCAACGAGUAACCCUUUACUUGGAAGUUCCAUGUGCAUGGCGCUGCAAGAAAACAAACAUCAUAAUGGGGCAAGACUUUUUUUUUUAUAAACAUCCAAUUUGGGUUAAAGUCUGAAAGAAUUUGGCUAUCUGAACUUUCAGUUUCCACAUUCUUUUACCUACUCAAUUCUUCAGCCAACAGGAUCAAUGGCGACCUACUAACACCAACCAGAACACAUGGGUCACAAACACGAAAAAGGGCUAGAAGGCUACUUAUACACACUCAUGUGUACUGCGAGCAAAAGAACAUAAUGUACAAAACUUUACAAAAUCUAGGGAAUUAAGACCUUCCCGUAUGCUGUUGCUGCCGCUGCUGCUUCAUGCUGGCUCUCCUGGCAACAUCCCAUGGUUUGUGAGGCACACCUACACCUUGCUGGGAUGCGAAGAACGACUCGUAUCCCGGGGAGUCGAAAGCAAAACCAGUGUGCUUGGAGUUCUCUCGAGGGAGCAUGGAGAUCGCAUAGCUUCUUGCUUCUUCUGGGCUCAAAUGGCUCCUCUCAGGCAGAUGUAUCAUGCUGUAUUCGUGGGGGUCAUCCUUGUGCAUCUCCUGGAUUACUUGGUAGUCAUAGGGAAAGAGCCAUCUUUGGAGCCUGAGAAAGCACACAGCAUCAAAGACAACAAUUGAUUCAGCUACUUCAGUAUGUACAAUGGAAGGAAUAACAAACGGAUGGCAUUAACAAACAUAUAAUUUUGCAAAAGAGCUGGUAUCUUACGAUAGAUACAGGAAAUCACCAAAGAGAGCGAUGACUGGAGCAAGCAUUAGUGUGAGGUAGAAGAAAAAGGUACUCAUCAGAACAUAAAUCACAAAAUAUACAUUUUCCUGCACAAGGUACACAGCAUUAAGUCAAUGCAUUUGUAGCAAGUAAUCGUCAUCAGCAGUGUAAUAGCUACAUUAUUCACCCACCUGUCGGUCAAAUGAUGUCAUUAUCGCAGAAUAUAUGAAGAUAAACAGAAACCAGGCCGCUAUACUGCCAGCUACGCUGAAAUAAUGCCAUCUCGUGAUAGAAUUGCACGACAUGAGGAGACGUAGAUUAACAGUCACCACAACACAAGUAAAGGCCAUCGUGCUAACAUCCCAUUGACCAAGAAUCUUGCCAGAUGAACCGUGACCAUGCUGACUUGCAGCUGCAGUAAAGUAAUAGAACACUAUUGACUGGUAGAAGGCAAAGAAACCCCACACCGCAAUCACUUUCCACCGGAAGAAUGUGUUCCUAAUUCCUUCUUGGUAAAGUUGUGGGUAUUUUUUUGAUAGAGAUGCACUCACAUCCUGAAAGGGUUCAGUUUAGUGAAUGUAGCAAGGAGCGUCACUCCAGAACAAGAAAAGUAGAACAAAUACAAGCAACCAUACCUUAUCAAACAACCCAACCAUAAUUACAGGUAGUGCCGUGAAAAUGACAUUAUACAGAGACUGGAACCAGUCAUCAUAAAAUCGCUGACCAGAAAAGCCAGUUUGGAAAGUGAACCAGAACUGAGUUAGUGUAAAAGUCAGAUUCUUGUAGAAGAAGUAUGUGAUAACCUGAAACAGAAAGUGUCAAUGUUAAAAAAAUUAAACUACACAGAUUGGCAGCUACAAGCUAAGGGACCAAAGCAUACCUUGCACAAUCUCAAGUAUGACCACCGCCCAUGUACAAGAAGUAAAUCCGUAAGAUAUCGAAACUGAGCAAUGGCAAAAUCACUCGCCAUAACAGCUUGCAUUCCUUCUUGUCCGCUGAUGCCAAUACCAACAUGAGCAGCUUGAAUCAUACUCACAUCAUUAGCACCAUCACCAAUACUGAGAGUUAUCUUACGUGCACCUUUCCUAACUAAACUUGCAACCUACAAAUGUGUCAACAUUACAUGUUUUGGCAUCAUUCGAACCCAACAGGUUAUUAGGAAAUAAAUCCAAAAAUAAGAGACUUUGAGAUUGCUGAUGGGAUGGGUAACAACCAAAUAAGCACAUAUACAAUAAGUUAAUUAAUACUACCUUUGUUUCAAAAUAUUAUACCAAAACGUCUUAUAUUUUGAAACAGAGAUAGUACUUAUAGUACAAGAGUGUACAGGACAUUUAGUUAAGAGGCCAAAACUAGAAUAGCAAAAGCAACCAAUGCACAGUGGUUAAUAAUGAUCUUGUGAAUCAUGCACAAACUAUUUUGUUGUCAAGGUACAAAAUUGGAUCCUUUAAAAUGUAAUAAUAUCAAUAUCCCCCGUUUAUUGCCCAAGCAUCCUGAAAGGCAUGCAGCUGAGAGCUGCAGACCAUACUGCUAAUUAUUUCAUGGGAAAAGGCAAGGCAUGCAUGAUAAGAACGCUAAAAGCGAGAAUUGAUAUUUACCUGUGCCUUUUGCAGUGGAGAAACUCGACAACAUACAACUGAUUGGCAAAUUAAACUCAAACCAAGAAGAUUCACACGCAGAGCUGGGUCUAGAGCGUACAUCAAGCAUCGUCCAUCAAUAAUGAAAGCCAACUUUCGUCCUGGCGUGCUCCUCAAAGAACGGUGGGCUUCCUCAAGGUAACUUCUCAGACUCUGUUUUACCGAGUCUUUGAUAACACGUGCAAUUUCCACAGGGUCUCCCUGAAAAUGACUGGAACAUUAUUCAUGGCAAAGAUAUGUGCAUAAGUUGAUUUACAUCAAUCAGAUACAAAUGCUAAAUUGCUAAUUAUGGUUGAUCAAACUGCAAAACACACGAGAUAUCCAAAAGGCUAUAUAAACAUGAUGGAGAGGCUAAAGCACUGAAACAACAGAAUCAACAUAAAGUAUUUUGUACUAUUAUGCAACUAAGCCUUUUGUCCCAAGCAAGUUGGGGCAGGCUAGAUAUGAAACCCAAACAGAAACUAAAGCAAAGUGCAGGUAACAAAAGAGCAAGAGAGUAAAUCAAGGUUCAGGCACAUGGACUGCUGAUUUCCAUGCAGCCCUAUCAAAAGCAAAAUCUCUAGAUACAUUCCAGUCCUUCAAGUCCCUUUAACUGCCUCCUACCAAAAGCAAAUAUCAUAGUAAUCCACCAACCAAAGUAACAAGGGAACUACUUGUAACUUCUUAGUUCACAAGUACAUACCAGUUGAGCUAUCCAAUUAUUCUAAAUAAUAUGGUUUGAUACCUUUACCAAAGUCUCAACUUGUAUUCAUUUUAAAGCUUAUACAAGAUAUUAUAUGUUAUGGCUUAACAGUCUCCAUGACACAAUAUGGCUUGACUUCACAGUUUAAUUCUAUAGGAUUAUCUUACCCUGUCUUCAGCAUCUCUAAUUGCAUCUGUCUCAGAAGUGAUGAUGAAUUGUUUUGUAUCGUUAUUCACCAGGCUGCACGCUGCAGAGCAAAAACUAAAUAACUUCAGAAGCUUUUCUAUGUCAGGUGAAAGAGAGAGAAAAAGACCGCCCGCCCCCCACCAAUAAUCCAAAACUGAGCUUCUAUUAGACCCCUUAAGAACGAAACAAGCAUGCAAAUUGAUCUAUAUAUAAUUAAAACCUCACCAUAUGCUAUAUUAAUUGCUGUUUCCAUUUUAUCUCCAGUUAGCACCCAAAUUUUUAUGCCAGCUGCAGAAAGAGUUUCAAUGCAGGCUGGAACCCCUUCUUGCAGUUUGUCUUCUAUUGCAGUGCACCCUAUCAAUAUAAGGUCCUUUUCAAUCAACUCAGCCACCUACAGGGGAAGAAACAGAAGGAAAUUAUAUGGCAAUGUCCCAGCAAUAUCUUAAAUCAGAAUAUACAUUAAGUCUAUUACUUCAAAUUCCUUUUUCCUAGAAAUCACAGUGAACUUAGUACAUGAAAGAAUGAAAGGAUAAUGCUUUUCUAAUGGGGAUUUGAAAAAACAUCAUAAAAAUAAUAAUAUAAAGUACUGUAUGUUCUUGUUCUAGAUAAAUUACAAAUAUCUUUUGCUCAUGAUCCUCUUUCCUGACUAAAAAAUAUAUAUUAUUAUGUAAAAUACUAAUGUUCUAUGGCAGUACAAGAUAAUAAAUUAGCACAAAAAACUAUUAAACUGCAAAUGUCAGCUGUUAGGGAUGGAUGACAUGACUCCUGUAGUUUUGGGGGGAGAGAGAGAGGAGACACACUGAACAAAUUACUUCCUUCGUCUCCAAAGAUUGCCAUGCCACAUUCUAUUCGGUCAGUCAACCUUUUACAACUUCAAAAUUAACAAUUAUAAGUGAAUUGAAUUACUACAUGAAAAAUAACAGCACUCAAUUUGCUUGCAUAAUAAUUUGUACGCAAAACUUUUGCUUGUAUAUUAGCAUAGAAAUCAUAGCCAGAGUUUUAUGUUGGGAGAAUAUAAAAUUAAAAAAUGGCCUACAUUUGUCAGGUACAUUCAGUUAAUUGUUUCCAAAACCAAAUUAAUUUUCAUACAUAAAUACCAAACGGAUCAAUAGCAUGCUCAACAGUGCACAUGAGACUCGAGUUCAGUACUGGAUGACAGAAAGUAAAAAAAAUCAGGCAAGCACUAGAAGGUGGAGGGGAAGUAAUCGAAAUUCAAAUCACAGGGACUGUUCAGCCUGUAUACUCAACAGAAGAGGAUGGUACACAUACCUCAUCAAGCUUCUUAUCACGAUCUCGUAAAGAAGAUUUAGCUUGAACAAACUUCUCAUUCCAGCUUUCGUACUGCUCCCUGCUUAGAUCUCGAUAAGCAAGGCAAAGCGUGCGCAAGCCAGCAGAGCCAAAUUGUUCUAGAUGUUCUCUGCUUGUCUUUUUAAUGUCAUGAUUUCCAUCAGCUAACCGUUCAAAAAUGACAUUAUCAGCGCCCUGUUACACAACAUUUGUAUAAGGUUAGUGCAUCAAUCUACAAAGUGAUAGCUACAUAAAGAUUCUUUUUUCUUGUAUUACCUUGCAAUACAGAACAAGUUUUCCAUUUGGGAAACGGCAAACCACAGAUUGGCGCUUUCUUGUACUGUGAGUGCAGUAAAGUGUGAAGUGCAGAACAAUGAUUUCAUCUUGUCAAAUUUAAAUUGAAAACAGAUAAACCAGACCUGUUGAAUUCCAAAACAUUCAGAAUUUCAUAUGCAACAUCUUGUAUACUCCCCAUCCUCUCAACAUGUGAUUCCCGAACCAAGACUGUGGUUGGCGUACGUCUACAAGACAGGCACAAAAUGUCAACCACCGGCAUUGCCAUUCACAAUAAAAAUGCCACAUGAAAUAAUUUGCAACAAAAAUCAUAAGAACUUAGAUGAGUUCAUGUUCACAGCACUUGCUUUAACACUUGUCUUAAUUUACAACGGCAAUUUUUUGUUGAUGGGCUAAUAGUUUAUUUAUGCUUCUUAGUAUGUACAUUCAGUCCUUCAUACAACAAACUAUAUAAGCAAUAACCUGGGUGAGUGACUCUUUUAUGCACAUUUUCCUUGGGACCAUAGCAUAGUUUUUUAAGAUACCUUGUUUGCAACAAACUGAUAAGAGGAAUCUAUAACUGUAUUUAAAGGCAAGGUAAGACAUGCCUAUAAAAGAAGAAACCAAAAUUCUUCGCAGCAGCGACAAGCGCGGCCUCGUCGGGAGAGGCAGCUUGAUAAGUAAUCUUUUCCGGUGUCUCCUCACCCUCAGGAAGAACUGUAUGACAGAUUGCAAGGCAUCUGCAGAAUUGCUAUAGAGCAAAUAACAAAGUUGUUACACAACUAGCACAUUAACAAGGGAAAAUGUGAAAAAGGAAAAUAGGUUCCAAAUUUUAUUAGUAAGGGCAUAUAUCGUGAUAUGUGAAUAAUUUGUGUCAACUAAAUCAAAACUGAUUAUGACCAAAGGGGAACCAAUCGAACUAUUCCACAGGUAGUCCCGUAUUUACCACGCAAGCAUCAGGAUUAGGUUCAUUUCUCCAUGCACCACGCAUUAUUCUAGCAUCAUCAAAGUUGAAUCCUUUCUCAUGAACUGCAGUGGCUGAUCUUUUACCCUAAAAAAGGCAAGUAAACUGGAUAUUAAAUCAGUUGUGCAUUAAAUUUUUCAUCAUAUACCACCACACUUCAAUAGCGUAAACAACAAAGAAAAUGUUGUAGACCUCAUCAUCAUCAAUCUUGACUCCGGCUCGCUCGGCUCCUCCUUUUUCAAUCUCUGUGAUGCCAGUUCCAUAUAUUUCCCCUCCAAUCGAACAUUUAAAGAAUUCCAUCAAGUUUCUUGUAAGUGUUCCAGUUUUGUCAGAAAAUAUAUACUCAACCUGAACCAUUAGUGGGGCAAAAAAAAUUUGGCAGAAAUGUCAAAUUAUUUGCAAGUGUUAAGUGCAUUUUAGUACCACUCGGCAUUUGUUCAGUCAUAUAAGCAUUUCUGGGGAUCUAGAACAGUUUUUCGGUGGGAGUAAGUCACUUAAUAUUAGUGAAAUGAGACUGUUCCCCAAGUGCUUAUAAUUGAUCCCACUUUCUGGAAUGAGUCGGUGCAGUGAGGUCAUUCUAUCCAUUAACCAAACCCAGCCAUAUAGGUCAAAUAAGUAAAUAACCCCAUUUCAGCAACAAACAAAGGGGCUUUCAUCAAACUAAACAGAAUGCUAAGGAACAAAAAAAAAACUGAUAUUACCUGCCCAAGCUCCUCAUUCAGAUUAGAAGUCCGAGCCAAAGCUGGGGUGUUGCUCUCGGCAUGAUACAUAUUCAGAUCAUUGUUAAUAAACUUUGCACACUGAAUGAAUUUGAUCAUCUGCCAGCCAAAAUAAACAUAAGGUCCAAUCCAAAUACAGGGUACACUAAAUGAUAAAUUGGUCAAUAUACCUCAAUGGAUACAUAAAGAGAAAUGGGGAUGAUCGUUGAGUAUAGAGUUAUUAGAGUAAACAUAGUUAAAAUGGUCACCUGCAAAAGUACAAACCUAUGAUAUAAGGCCACUUAGAGAAUAUUCUCUACAAUAAAUUAACUAAAAUAAUAUAUACCACAAAUCUGUUCUUGGGAUUAAACUGGUCCUCGACACGCCCACGCAAUCCAAGAUAGAAGUAUUUCUCAUUAAUAAACACGCCACUGUUCACAAAAGCCAAGUAUGAUGAGUCCAUUGGUAGAGUUUUAGGUUUCUAAAGAACGUGCAAGCUAAGCAGUCAUAGUUACCAAAAUCUAUAUGCUGAACAGAGCACUUCCAUUUCUGACCAUCUAGAAAGUGCCCUAUUAUGUACCUCCCACAUAAAACCACUAAGAAAAAAGAUAAGGCUAUUAAGACCUAGUCAUGUGCUCAUCUAUACUGCUCCUAUGCCACAAUAAAAAAAUAACUUCCCCAAACAAGCUCCUGACAACUCAUGUCAUAAUGUUUAAAGUUUAUCUCUCUAUUAACAGUUGUUUUUUCAUGAUCAAUUAAAUUGUGAAAAAUGAUUGUGCAAGCAUAAGCCUCCACAACAUCAACCUAACCGAUAUAACUCAUGUUCAGAGAAUAUACAUGUAAACAAUAAUACAAGAUAGAUAAGUCAAAUAAAUGAAGUGGGCCAAAUAAAACACUGACCUUCCAAUAGCACCAAUGACACACAUCGUAAAGAGGGUUGCAAAUAGAGCAAGAAUAAGCUUGUCUAGUUUCUUCUCCAAUGUACUUCUUUUAGAGGGAACAUUCAUAGAAUUCAUCAUAACCUGCAAUAGUGUCCCACUGCAGUAAAUCUCAAAACUAGAAGCACAUCUAACCUACAAGUUGAAUAUAUAGGGACACAAAAUUGCACAUACUUUCGUCUCAUGGCCCGUGAAUAUAACAGCCGCGACAAUGUACUCUGUAUUACGAAGGCUGCAUCCCUGUGGCAAAGUGGUAAUAAGAGGUUGCAUGUGUGCCACAUAAAGAGAGAGAAUUAAGUGUCAUGCAAGACACCGUUCAGUCUGGUGAAAGUAAACAUUUCUUUUGCACUUUACAAACAUUGCUUCAACCCUUCACCACUUAUCCUACAUAUGGGACUAGAGAAGAAAUGGAAGUUGUUUAUAUGAAUGUUAAACAUUUCCAAAUUGUUUAUAUCAUAGCUAUCCUUGUUUGCAAACCAAUAAGAACAAUAUUAUUAUAGAGGUGUUUUAUGAUGAAAAUUUCUGCUGGUGACAUUUGGGUGUCGUCAAUAUUGGUAUUUGGAGGAGAUGUUGGUGAUCAAAGUUAAAGGCCGAGUAAAGGCAUCACGCUAUGAUGUUAUUUUUUACCUGAGGGAUUUUCUUAACAAACUCAUGCUAAAUCUAGAACAUGCAAACAACUUUGCAGGUGGACAAUCUUGUAAAGAAAUUUCAAGGGCAUGUUUGUGUGAGGGGUAUUACUUUGGUACGUGUUGGUAACUACAUACCUAAUUGUUACAAGAAAAAUCUCAUCCAAACAAGCCCUAAGGACAUUAUGGACCUUGCUACUGCAAAGUUGGUAAGUCGAAAAUACGACAGGAUGUCUGAUUGAUAUGUAGGACCUGGACCCACAUGUCAUUCUCACAGCGAGUCGCACUAUUUCAAAUGUCAACUUUGUGGUGGCAUGGUUUCAAUUUUCCCAAUAAGAAACUAGAUACAAAUAGCAUAGAUGAACAGCACUUACCCUUAGUAGUAUUUGAUUUGGUGAAAUUGGUAUAGUUUGCUUGUCCACAAUAAGGUUCCCGGUAAAUGUAUAAAGUGAAUUGUUUGGCUGUUCGCAUUGUAUUUCACCUGUAAGCCAUGAAACAUACAGAUAAUGUGAAGUUAAGAAAAUGUAGAAUAGUUAAGUGAAGUUCAGAAAAGGAGCAAUGCUUCCUACACCAACUACCGAAAAAUGUCUGCAACAUGGAACAAGAAUAGAUAAAAACCUUUGAAUUCAGAAGCCUUUUCAGGAAUUACGCAGUCCCAGGUUUUCUCCAAAGCCUUCCUUAUUUUCAGGUUAGUUUCCCCAUCAAGAUUUGCUGUCUAAGGUAAAUAGAAGUAUGAUACACUUCAAUUAAAACAGAGUUUCUCUAAAUCAUUCAAUAAUUUCAAUUUGGACAAAAGAUGGAGAAGGUAAGAAUGAAUAUAUUGACCUCUAUGUAGCAGACACCAUCAGGGUUCGUACUUGAUAGGAAGAGCAAGUCAGAAGGAAAGUAAGUGUCUUGCUUGAUCUGCUCUAAAGAAGUGCCAUCACUAUUAGUCUUUUUGGAUAUGUGUAUCGAGCUGAAGAUUAAAUUUGCACAGCACAAAAGAUCAAGUGCAUUAAUUUGUGGAAGCAACAGAUCAAUUGAAUUGAUCAUCAAAUUGCUAUCAGGAAAGAUGAAGACAUUACCCUCACAAUAUCUCCAACCUGCAGUCUUUUCCAAGGGGCACUUUCCCAUUUUUGACCUUGCAAUACAUCGACGUGCGCAUUAUUAAUUGACAUGUCAUUCUGGAAACGUUUCUGUAUAAUGGGAGGCAAACAAAAAGGGAAGAAUAUCAGAUAACAUUAAGAAUAGCAAUAAAAUAGUGGAGCAACAGAGCAUGAGAGCAAUACUAACCCAGUCCUCAAAAGCUUCCUUGAUGAGUGAAACCAAAAGCACUAAACUAAGUGGAACCACAUUGGUGACAGGGUGGACUGGACUGCGAAGAUACAAGCAUGUAUGAACUAAGAUUUCUAGAAGUAAAGGUGAAGGAAAGCAAAGGAUGACUGAAUCAACUGAUGGACUUGAUAUGCUAAGAAGUGUCUAGCUGUAACAUGAGAAUUCCAUAGGGUGCAUGCAUGAGAGAGAGAGAGAGACCUAAUUGGUGUAGUCGACAAGAUUGAAAUCAUAAGAAAGUAAAGAUUUGCCACCCGUCUGAACUGUCAAAGCAAAAAAAAAAACAAAUGAAUUACAAAAGGUUCCUAUGGUCAAAUUGCGAUAAUACAGAAAGGGAACAUCUAAAUCGGUGUUACAGCUACCAUUGCAAAGUUUCUUUAUUCGAUAUGGAAAAAUGCAUUACAUGUUUAAUGUAUGAAGCCAUUGAAAUACUUUAAUGUACCUUACGUAAAAAACAGUGGAUAAUGAAAUUGCCAGAAUUAUGGUAUCGCAUAAAAUGAAGGUUACAUUGAGCGAAAAGCAUGAUCAGGGCUUUACCAAAUAACAAAAUCAUACUUCUCCUUUUCUCAAUAUAUGGCAUUUUAGGUUUCAUUGAAGACAAGUCUUUGAAAAGGAUUUACUUUGUGUUGUUUUUAAGGCAUGAAAUUUAUAUCACUAGAUUCAUCCUCAAAAGUACUUAAUGUGGAUUCAUAUCAUAUAAAUCACAUAUUAAUGAAGUAAUUCUUGGUCAAAGUCUUGUAUUAACGAAACCUAAUAUGUCCUGUAUUGACAAAAUGAGGGAGUAUAUUAUCUAACAGUGCAUGUAUACAGGCACGAUACUGGUAGCGCGUAUUACAAGCAAGGUAUCUUAAAAACAUUGCAACACAGUGCCAGACCAGGUAAGCAACUAAGCAUCUCAUGUAUCCACUAUUUUAAGGGAAGUUGAUCCAGAGUGAGGAAAUAAACAUUUUUAAGGAGAUAUAUCAAUUUGCAAUGUGAAAAUGAUACGGAGUAGUAUAAUCAUUUCACUGUGAUAACAAAUACUCCCUCCGUUCUAAAUACUUGUCGCUGUUUUAGUGCAAACUAAAACAGCGACAAGUAUUUAGGAACAGAGGGAGUAACUUCCAUUUACCGUUAGACAUGAUACAAAAUAAUAUGUUGAAAAAAAAUCUAGCCAAAAACUAAAAAACAAACAGAAAAUCUGCAUUAAACGAUGACAAACCCAGCAGGUAUGUUGAUUAACAAAAUAUGUAUGAACAAAAAACAACGCAUCAAUACCUGUUCAAACAAUCCUUUAGGUAGAAAUGUCAGCACACUGUACUUUGUAGUCGACACAGAAUUUCCCUGGAAAUGUAGAAUGAGAAUGUUAAAGAACUAAUUCUAGCAGAAAAACAAAGUAGCGCUCUGCAUUAGAAUCGCGAUGGUCUGAUACCCAACAUGAGGGAGAUUCUGAAACUAAACAGAAGAGCUAAUUGCAACUAGAAGCAUGAAAAAAGUAUAGCUUGAUCUUUUUACAACAUCAAGUCUGAAUACAUUCAAGCAUUUACACUAACUUGGAACAAAAUGUGGGUGUCAAAGAAAAUGCAUGAAUACACCUACUUACAAUAAAGCACCAAUUUUGCAGUGAUUGGACAAACUAUGGUUAAAAUACUUAAUAAUAGAGUUCUACGUAUUUGGAGGCAUAAAACGCAUUGCAGUUGGAGCAGUGGCAUUAUCAUGUUAGUCAGUCUAACAUGGCAGUGAAUGACGUGAAUUUUUUGCUAGUUUAGACCUCUGGCCAGCGCAAUUGACAAAAAUGCCCCCCUCUCAAAACUAAUGCCAAAAAUGGUCUGGCAGAAGGCCCGAAAGGCGCCACAUUUCAUUUUUCGCCAUCUGAGCUGCGCAUGCAAACAUUCCGACAACCUGAAAGGCGGAAAGGCCGUUCCGCCUACUGCAUUUGAUGAAUGCACCUGACAAGGGCGGAAGGUGAACUGGGCCCUGCAGAUGGAAGCAAUUUCCACAUUUGUUACAGACCUGGAAUCUUUUUUUUUGUUGGAGUCGACGGACCAUGUAUGUGCGGAUGCAUAGGAAUCGGCAAGCAGCCUAGCUGCUAGUUCACGGGCACGUUUUACAUUUUCUUUCCUCAGGUUUGGCUAGUGCUACCACGUUGAUACUAAUCAACGCUUCUUGUGAAUGGGCUUAGUUGCUUCUACUAGUCGUGCGAGCGUUAAUCUUUUCUCUGUGCGCCUGCAUGUGCGGGCGUGGGAAUCGGGUCAGGUCCCUGCAGACAGCACGCCUGGCUGCACUGGGCCUGCUUCAGCUUCCGCCCCUGAAAAUUCACUUUCGUCCAUUUCAACUGGAAACAAGUAGGCUCCACCUGUCCUGUUGGCGGAAAGUUCAUUCCUCCUACCCAGUGGCCACUGGGUCAGUUGCUGGGCUUUCCACCACGUCAUUUUUCAAAUUAUAUUUCAGAUGGAGCUAUUUUUGCCAAUUCCGUUUGACAAGGGGCUACAAGAGCAAAGAAAUUGAAUGACAUAGCAAGCAAUCAAUUUCCCCUUAUAGGUAAAUAAUAAACAGCUUUGCUUCAGCUUACUGUCAUCAGCUGGUGGCUGACUGCCCUGACCAAACACAAGUUCAGUAAUCUACACAGCAAGCGGCACACAGGUGCAGCUAAGCACAUGGAUGAACAGAAUAUUCCAGCCAUUGAGGCUCAGCUCUCGAAGCUUAAUGCCAGGUGGCAUCUACAUUGUAUUGCAGCCCGUAGCACCCUGAUUGACUAGUAACCCAACAAUGAGACAAGCUCUAAUCCACCCAAUGACCUCACAGUUGGCAAGAAAUGCAGCCCUUAGUGACACGCACCACCCUACAUAACUUUCUCGUGGACUAAUCAGUAUGAAUCAUAUAAACCCUCUGCAAGCUGCAGUGAAAUAAAACUACUACUACUGAACUAGCUAUUGUCCCAGAUGGCCAUCUCCAACCCAACCGCCCAAGCAUGAAACAAGGGGCCAGUUACGAGAUCUAGGCCUACAGACCCCUAGACCUUGAGACAACCGACCUGUUGAUCAUCCGAAUUAGAGGAGGAGGUGCACACCCGUACCUUGUACCCGACCGGCGCGUUGGCUUCGCGGUCGUUGCAGUAGAUGGUGCGCACGGUGGGUGCCUGCGGCUGCGGCUGCCGUCGGAGGCUGCCGCCCCCGCCGCCGAGACGCGCCGUCCUGGACGCCUCAGCGCGGCCGGCCUGAGAGGUCCCCCCCCGCGGCGACUGCUCGCCGCCCAGCCGCGCGGUGGCAACCCGCAUCAUCUCCUUUAUGCGCGAGCUCAUCCUGCCCCCCUCAGCGCCAAACCCAGCGCUGGAGGAGCCGGCGGGAGAUCUGGGGAAACCUCACGGUGGAUCGGAGGGGAGACCUAGUCGGAUUUGCGCGGCUUUCUGGUGGAUUUCAGUGCCUCGCUGAGGAGGGGAUUCGAUUUGGGUCACGCGUUCCCGUAUGUGCGUAUUUUUUCCGUGUAAUUUUUUUGUUUUGCCUUUUUCUUUUCCUUUGGCUCCGGGAGAAGAGAAGACAGGAGGGGAAGGAAAAGCGAAGGUCGCGACUUCGCGAGGAAGAAAAUGAAGGGAUUACUGCAGAUCACACCCUUGAUUAUUUUCGAAUAUGGAAAGCUCCAGUAACUGAAGUUUGAAAUUCCAGCCGCGUUUGUCUUUUCCUUCUUCGAGCAAACAACCGUGUUCUUGACUUGUUCUAUGUUUUUGCUGUCCGGAGGACUACCCGAUUUGCAAGUAAAUAAUGGCAUUAAUUUCAUAUAAGCACUUUAGGACACCACACUUGACAUGGUUUUCUACUGACGACGACUAUAUGGUGGCUUUGAUGUUCCAUGAAUAGAUCUUUUUAGCGGUGUUUCAAGUUCAGGUGUUAUAACAAAGCAUUACUCUUGACCUAUCUUCCCUUGCGACCAUGCUUUUUGAAUCGCCAAGUCGAGUCGAAUCGCCCCCCAACAGACUUGGAGGUUAGUAUGAUUAGUCAGAAACUAGUCUCGACUAAUCAACCCAAGUCGAGCCUAGUGAUCAGUGAGGUUUAGGGAGCUCUAGCAGGGAGCAUUAGAGGAAAGGAGUGAAUUGCAGUAGAGGGGAAGCACGAGGGAACAGUUUUUGUGGUGCUGGAGCUUGAAGAAGAGGUUCAUGGCGGCUAGGAUCUAGGAGUCGAUAAACUUAGAACGCCCGUGUUGAGGCAAACGCGUUGAGGAAGACGACUUCAAAGGUGGUUGGCUCAUUAUCAGGAUAGGUGCGUGCCUGGCAGCCCAUAAAGGCCUAUUAGAAAACCCUAACUCCCCCCUCCCCCCCCCCCCCACACACACAUUGCCUUCUUCUACACCACACACGCACCAAUGGCGGCCAUCUUCUUCCCCUUCCCUGCUGCUCCCCAUGCCUUCUCUCCCUCCCCGAAAAGAAAUAUCUUCCGAAAAUUCUUCUCUUCGAGUCAAGUUGAGGGGCUCGCGGCGUUCCUAGUCACGGCGGCUAGUCGGAGAAGUCGCGGUUCUAGCUGACGAGUCGCGCGACUUGCUCUGCUAGUCGAGUCGCGGCUGCAAGCCGCCAUCAUUGUGCUGGCUCGGCGACUAGUUGGCGAUUCAAAAACCAUGCUUGCGUCUUAUAAUUUUGUUUCCUCUUAGAUUUUUUUCAAUUAUGUAUGGAACUCUUUUAAGCUUGGCUAACAUAUUGGGUCAAUUUGUCUCCCAUUGAAAAAAAAACAAUUUCCUAUAAAAAAUAAAGUAUCCACAAAACAAUAUGCAUAGCGCAGUUGUUUUCAAAGUUGUGGAUGAAACUUUGUGUUGUACAGGCAACCACUUAAUAACUUGUUCGGUUGUAGAAUUCCCCGCAUGUAUUGAAGAGGAUUAAGAGAGAUCUAAGGAAAAUUGAUCUGCAAUUCGAUCAUUCCCUCUUAAUCCCCAUCGGAGUGGAAUCAACCGAACGGGGCUAAUGUGGACCAUAUCACCUUGAGGACUCCAUUCUUCUUUUAUGGCAACGUUGCAUGGACCUUGAUAUGAACGCACGUGCCUGCAAUCUCUAUUAUUUUUUCGUAAAUAGCAACUGUCCUUUCUGUAUCUUGUAAUAUGUUUUCUACAAUUUUAUUUGGGAUAUUUCGUCAAGAACCCAAAUCGAUUACAUUUUCCACUUUGGCGAAUGAGUCAAGAUUCUCCAUGUGUUCCAGCGAGGCAACUGCGAGCUACACAUGUAUGGUGAAACAAGCCUCGCAACUUCGUAAGUAACUCCAAAACUACAUCAGCACGUCUCUUGAACUUUGGAAACACACAGACGUGUUCCACGACCGUGAGGCGACGGAGUUAACGGGGCAGCGUUGCCGGAAAGACAAGAGUACCGUAACAAGGCCCAGACUGGGCUGCAUCGGCGUUCUGCCUCUAUUACAAGCGAGAGAUGUUGAACCGGCCAAGGUUAGGCAAGGCAGUCAGCGGGAGGAUUUUUUUUUUUUUGUUGUUGGUUUUGAAGAGGCGCGGGAGGAGAAGAACUUGCUUGACCAGCCCACAAGAUCGUGAACCGGUAUGACAUUGACAUUUUAUUUAGGGCCAGUAACGUGUAAUUAGAAGUACUAGCUUACAUCUCUUCCUUUUUGAACCGUCAGAUCUGCAACCAUAUCAUCUCUCCCCUUUGUCCUCUUCGCUAUGCCGAUUUUAGUGAAACGCCGCUGCCAAAUCUUCACAGGAUUGUGAACCGGCAGCAGCUUCGACCCUUCAAUAUUAUUAUUACAGCUAAAUAAAAGACUGAAAUUAUAGGUGAGGUCCUUUGUUCUAAUCGCCCAAGCGAGCAGAAGCCAAGAGAUUACGUGCAAGCAUAGCAUGGCCAUGUUCGCCAACUCAUGACAUAGUGGCACAGGGACUAACCACCUGGAUUACAUGGCUAGCUUCCAUAUAUGUGCAACAAAAUAUUGGUACCAGGCAGCCAUCUGUGCCACCAACCAUAAACUCCCUGAUCCCAAAAAAUACAAAAUACCAAGAGUUUCCACCCACAUCAGUACAAGUGCACAACAGUUUAAGAGACAAGCCAAGGAUCAUUCCCAGUUUGUGGGAAUAAAUAAGAGUCCGCAGCAAACAGAAAACUCAAAAUCGCUGGCAAAGUUAGGAUGUGGAAAAAAGAAAGGCUUAAAAUGAUCUAGCCAUGGCGUCAGAAUCUAUUAUCAAUGUUUCUCUCUCAAGGAUUUCCCUUCUAUAUAAAGUAUAAUAUUACAAAGGGGCUGCUUAAAUAUCAUGGACUCCUGGAAUGUAAAGAGGGUAAUAAUCAACACUACAUGAGCCUCCUUUUUCCUGAGGCUGCUUCCUAAGACUGACUGACUGCUUCCCCGAGGAUCCACAUACACCCUCCCCUCUCCUCAAGUUCCACCUCCCACCAUGGAAGUUAAACCCCCACCAUGGAUCCGAUGCUAACCAACUGUACGCGACCUGGAGAAAGUCAGUCAGCUUGGUGGUUCAAUCAAGACAGAGCAUCACGAUAUUGCCCAAAUGGUAUAAUUGGCAGGAUCAAUAAGUAGUUUAUGCUCGCAGCAAGAUCCAAAAGAACCAAUCUACCAUGACUAAUGUAUGACAAGAAUGAUGUCUUAUGUCUACUUUCAGAUACACUAUGGUCCAGGUGAAACAAUAUUUUAAAGUUUAGUAAUUACUGGCAGUAGUAGACAGACCACAGAAGUGUAAAGAUAUUUGCACACAUGACCUUUUAAUCCAAGGCUAACCCAACCUUGUAAGCUACGUGCUGUUUGUGCUAACGCUGCUGCUUGAAUGCAAUUAGACAGUGGUGAUGUCCUUGUUAGUCUGUUACAUACCUAAGGCAUCACCUCCUGAUUCUAGGUUUGCACCGGAACUCUGCUAAGAGCGCUAUGUGAUCUGAUGACCAUUCAGGUGAAGGAAGAGCAGUGUCUUUUCUUAAGCUCUCCUCAUCCAGAAGUUCCAACAAAGACUCCACGGUCAACGAAUCCGCUGAAACAAUAAAGGAAACAUGAUCAACUGACCAUAAUCAAACAUAUCACAAUACUACAAGCUGAUUCUGAAGCAAUUCCCAGAAGUCUAAAUACAGCAUACAGGUCAGGUACCUACCUGUGUAAAAUAUAUAAUCAACAGUUCCAGUGAAAUCCCUUGUGCAAUUUGUGAAAAGUGGUUCAUUUGUUCCUGGAUCCAUCCUCCUUCGCUGGUGCUCUAAAUCAUAGCCAACACCUACCAUUCUUGCAAAUGAAGAAUAUGCACUGACCUGCAAACAAGUAAACAUUGGUCAGAAUUUUAAAGGAAGAACAAGAUAGACAAGCUUGAUAGUUUUACUGUACCAGAGGAAGCUGGUGCGUCAACUUGCUCACGGGGCGUAAAAUUGAAAGUGGGUCUAUGGCCAGAUCUGGAUGCAAUUGAUCAACUUUGCCCACCGCAAGAAGCCCAUGUGGAGUACUGAAAGACAAAAGGAAGCACUUAGAGAUUUAAAGUUAGAAAAAACAAGUAAACCUGAAAAAUAUUGCUCCAAUAGAAUCUUGACAUGCACCUCCCCGGGAUUGAAUUGAAAUCCCCACAGACCAACAUUGGAAUGUCUGCACUGUUGGCUAUUUUCUCCAAUCCUUUUAGUAGUGUUUGAACCUGCAAAAAACAUACUUACUUUCGAUCUGAAUUUUUCAGAUGUUGCAGAAUGCUAGCCUACAGAGAAUGUGACAAUACUGACCUCCCAUAGUUUCACAUCUUUGAGGUCUUGGUGGACAUUUACAUGUGUAUUGGCCUGAAAUUUGAGAUCAUUUAAAAGAAUGAGACCUCCAUGACUCCAAGUAGCAUAAGCCUAGGCCGUAUGAACAAUGGGAAAUCUGUAGUAAAGUUGGCCUCAAAAUCUAGAGUCUAGAGAGCCAAGUCCCAAUCAUCCGCCAUUAACAUAUAGAUGUUUCCGUGCAUCUUAUGCUACUAAGGUCAUCCUACACAGAUAUAUGUUUCACUUCAUUCCUAAAUGUUGUGAGCAAAGAAGGAAAAGAAUCCAUAUGUUGUUCUGCACUAUGCUGCUAGCAGUUCAAUAGCUAAACAUACGGGAAAGUCCACUUUUGGCCCCUUAACUAUUGCCUCAGAUCAAAAUCAUCUAAUUUGCACCCUCAACUAUCAAAAGCAUCCAAGUUACAUCUGAAGGCAAUAUUUGUUAGAGGCUUUGUGUGAUGUGGCAUCCAUGUCAACGUGUUUUGCCACAUCAAUCGCUGCUGGGCAGUAGGGCCCACAUAUCAUGGCUGCCGUGCCCCUUCUUUCUUUAUAAUUCUUCCUCCUUAGCCAUGCCAUGGCCUCCUCUGUAGGCUAUAGCUUCCACUGCUGCUGCUACAGAUAACCCAUGUUUGACGUUGCAUAACAUCUUCUGAUUUAGAGAGGGGUAUCCUGACAGACAUGUACCAGUCUCCGCAAACCGCUGCACGGCUGCAUCCUGAGGGGAAUGGACAAAGAGAGGAUUAGAGAGGAAGGCUGAGGAGGGAGGCGUUUAGGGCGACUCCAACACGGCCACCCAAAUCGGACACAAAAAGUGUGUCCGUUUGGGUCUGCUGGUGCCCCUAACACGGUCACCCAUUUGGUCCGUUUUAUUAUUUAGUAUUGGCCACGGAUAGGCGGGCCAGGGCAAGGACAAGGGAGGACAAGCGCAGUGUCCACCCGCUGUCCGCCCAGACACAAACCCGGUCAGAUUUGGGUCGGCAAUGGGUUGAGCUGGACAGAAAAGCAGACAGCCGCCACACCGGACGAAAUGGGUCGCCGCGUUGGAGUCACCCUUAAUGCUAAGCUGGGAAAGAGGAAGGGAACAGAAAUAAGAGGAUGAGGACAAGGGAGGGAGAAAAGGGUGCUUCCAAAAAAUCAAUCCCAGGCAUGUGGGGCCUACUGCCCAGUGGAGAAUGAGAUGUCAAAGUUGCUGAUUUGGCGGCUACAUACAGAAUAUCACUCAUGAAACCAGCUUCUGGUCCUAUCGAACGGUUUCAUGAGUUGAUGGUUCAAUUUAGACCAGGCAAAAGUUGAGGGAUCAUAAUUAGGCUUUUCCAAACAUAAAUGAAUGUCAUGCUGUAAAAGUAGUGUUCGUCAUCCAGUAAACUGGUUCGAAUAUCCAACAAGCGCACAACUACUUUAUACACAUCUAAAGAAAGAACAGCUAUUUACAUACCACACAAAGGAGCUGCCUUUUACCAGGAGUUUCAGUUCCUUGGUUGCCAAAUUUUGCUUCUAAAACCGCAAUCAGCGCAAUAUUAUCCUUCAAAGCAAAUAGAACGUGUGAUAAAUAACAUCACUUUUUUUUGCGAAAAGUGAUAAAUAACAUCACUGUAGCAUACAUUAUUUCUUUUGAAGUUAAUCUUACUUUAAUCAGUCGACUUAAAGCCACUCUUUUCUGGGAAGCUGGAAUAAUAGCUUCUGUUAAAGACUGUGCAGCCUUAUUGAACUCAACCUACACAAGCAAGUACAAGUAUUAGAUAGCUGCAAAUAUCAAGCUGCUGCAAACCUGCAGUACAGGUACCUCGUAUUUUUUGACAUGUGAAAAUCUAUCUCUACGGAAGAAAGUAGCACAGCCAUCAAUGGCAUUAGGAACUCCAGCAUACACCUGUGACAACAGUAAAGUAAAAUCAAACAAGAGACAAAAGGUAUUAAACCAAAAUAUGAAGGAAAAAAUCAACCCAAAGAUACCUCUGUUGUCCGUUUCUUGUAAAGCGCCUGAUACCCAUGUUUAUCAAACUCAGGAGCAAAAAAAUCCUCAAAGUGGUUCAAUUGUACCUGAAAACAGUAGGACUUGGCUUAAUUCCCUCCUGUUACAAUCUUCGGUCACUCUUCGUUUUUAUUGUAAGCCGCUUCAGUAAACUCUUCAUAAUAUAUAUGCAGACAAUAUUCGUGAAAGUUUAAACAGCAAGCAAACUAUCAUAAAUUCAUAAUCCAACAUCACUGAAAAGUGAAAACAAUCAAACAAAGUGAUGGCACAAAUAUGGAAACGAACAGCCCAGCAGUAUAUGAAAGAUUGUAGGUUGAUGAACAGGGUUCCGGCAUUAAAGUUUACCGAGUCGCAAAAAUUAUAUGAUCAACCAAAUGAGACAUGCUCGGUUCCUAAAACAAAUAUAUGAGAUGAAAAGCUGAAAAUAGGUCACCAAAAUAAAUAAAUUCAGAAGAUAGCAAACAUAUGAUACCUCCUGAAGACAUAUAAUAUCAGCAUGAUAACCAAUAAUUUCGCGCAUCAAAUUUUGUCUUCUGUAAGUCCAUGAAAGUGCCCACGUUGGGCAGUAGCUAUAUGCAUCAGAUGUAGCAUAUGCAUCAGCAAGAAUAUUAUAGGACAGCACCGUGAAUGUCCCAAAAGAAGAAGUCUGGCUGUCUAUAUCUGAGUGACCCAAAACAUCUCCAUUCACUUGGAUAAGGCGGCGUGGAGUAGGAGUUGGUGCUGGAAUCACACGUGAUGUCAUAAUUGAAGUUGGAGACCCCGCAGGUACUUUCUUUUCCGUAUCCACCGCUGCACAUUCAAAUCUUAGAACAUGCCCAAUAUCAUCAGCAGUUGGUGUAUACGUCUGCGAGCGUCCCACUUCAAACCAUGUUUCACCCGAGUUCUUAUCAGUGCCUGAGGGAUACAAGGGAACAGGUCCAUUAUUAACUCCAGGGCUCUGUCCAAGAUUUGACAUUGAGCCAGACCCAGAACUUAGAAUCCCAGAACUACCGCUGCCAAAUCUACCAAAUAGCUCCUCCUCUUCAGCUCCAUUUUCAUUUAAAGCACUACUAGCUCGCUCAUGCAAAACCCUGUGGUGCUGCCAUGCAUCAGAGAAGCACUUAGCAGAACAAUGGUAGCUCUUAGCAGCAGGUAUUUUUGACUUGAGACAACCUAAGCACUGAAUUGUUGCUUGCUCCAUCGGAUGUACACUGCAGAUAGUAACUUUUCGAUCACUCUGUAUGCGAUACCUUCGAGCGAAAAGUCAAAUCAGUAUAACCAUGUGCUACUAGAUACAGAAAAAGUUUAGAAGAACAUGAUUGAAUAUAGUAACUACAAGAAAGGACACCUAAAUUGCCAAUGUUUUAGCAUGUAUGAGAUCCAGGAAAACUUGCUAUCAGCAUCUUGGAAGUCCAUUAUUCAGAGACAUUAGACUCACAACACUUCCAUUAUAAGCAUAGUAUGAAUAAGGCAAAAUGAAGCAGGUUGCCAAGAUGUCGCAAAAAAAAAGAAGCAAAUUACAAGUUUGCUUGUCAUGAGUUGCUGCUGCUGUUGUUUUUUCUUGAUUUUAGUCCCUCAACCGGCUAACUCGUGAUCAUUCAUCUCUUGCUUUCUUUACCAGAUCAACCAUGCAACUGAUUUCUUUAGCGGACCAGGCAAUAUAUGUAAUAAGCAAAAUUCUACAGUUUAGAUCAGAGAUUCAGAGGACUAUUGCAGGCUCUCAUAUAUCAUCAUUAGGGCAUGACGACCAGACAAGGAAGUUGCUGUGUAUAUUAUUAUUCCUAGAAGAAAAACAUUUAAGUACUGUUCAAGGAGGCGACCAACUAUAGCCCAGUGCCCACCCCAUCAAUCGAUUAGUGUCUUUCAGAACACUUCAUUUCAACAAUGUGUCUAUAAAUGGCCACACUUACUAUACUCAAACCUCAAACCUUAAAAGUGAAUAAAGAUGCACAUAUCACAUGAGAUUCUAUCAAGCUAAUGACUGAAAAGCAACACAAUGAAAAUAUAAAAAACUAUAGAAUUGAAGGACCAAAACCAAUGAAACUGCAUGAGUGUUAGUGGGACCAAGCACCACCAUUUCGAAAAGUUCUAAGGUCUAAAGUCUCAGCAAUAAAUGCUAUUUAAACCUACAUGACAUUAAAAAAACGGAUGUGAUAAAACAAAUAAAUAUUCACGAACAUGAUCAAUCAUUCAGAGCGGGAUUCUAAAAUUGAUCACUGAAAUUGUUCGGCCACCCAGCUAUUAGUGAUUAUACAGCCGAGCUAGCUCAUUGCAGUGGGUGGCAUAACCAGCGGUUACAAGUUCUUUUCUCUCAUAUUUGCCUCUCCAUUUUUCAUUUUUUUAUUUCCAAAUAGAUCUACAAUGUUAUUUGAAUUUUAAAAAUAAUAGGUAGGGCACUCCUUACAUACAUGACCUCCUAGGCCAUUUAAAACAAAUAUGCAUUGUUUGGGGUUUUUUAUAUAACAUAAAGUAAGUUAACUAUGACACACUGCCAAAAUAUUUUUGCAUAAAAAACAUUAAAUUUGAUAUAGCACAGAAAGAACGUGGAUAUCCAGCAAGAGAUUAAAGAAGGCAAAGUGGGGCAGGCAGUCAGCAAAACAAAACUAGUGGAUCACGAGUUUCAAACUUUUACUAGCUUUAAGCAACUGAAAUAACUUGCCACUGAACCUAGUGAGCCAACAACUCUAACGUGUAAUAGCAAACAAGUAAUAAUUCUUUUGAAGCUCCAGAAUAAUCAAAACUGAGUCUAGAAUCAAGCUAGAAUGCCCAUUUGAGUUCACUGGUGAUGUUAGAGUGAUACUUAGUUCAAGGAGUAUAUCCAGAUACCCCAAUCAAAAAAAUCAUCUGAAGCCAUGCGAACAAACUGAUGGCACUUCUAGAAUAGUGUCUUUCCACAAAAUUAGUUAGAUAAGCCUAUGUAAUCCCAAAAUUUAUAAAAUGCUCCCGUUCCAUCCAAGAUGAACGUAAACAUUCCUGCACAACGAUUGGCAACAAUCCUCAACCCAACAGCCUUCAUCACCAUCCUAUGAUGCUAUCUAACACUCAAUAGUUCUAGCAAAACCAAAAUCAGAUGGUCUGUUUUGCUCAAUGAAUUACUUAUUAUCAUUACCAACCCGUGUGGCAGGUUGAUAUGGCAUAGACUAAAUAGUAUGAUUCAUAAACAGGCUUAAAAUAAUGCAAUACUGAGUUCUUUACCAAAUCAAGCAUUGGCAUUUCAUGUUCCCUGGGUUUCCAUUCGUUCCAAAAACAAACAACUGUCUUGCUAGAGAAAAUCAUGCUCAGAAUUCAUAUAGUUGUGCUUCAUUUAUGCAAGAAUCAAGACGAUUCAUGAGUUUAGCAAGUAGUUAAGCAUCUAGCAAACUGAUUGAUACUUAAAGCCCCCAUUUUCUUUUUUUCUUUUUUGUCAAAAUUCACUUGUAGCAACGCACAAGCGGAACUAAGCAUUCGAAAGUGUAUAUCCUAUUGAACCAAAAGUUGCAAUCACGAGCUGCUCACUCACCAUCUGUAUCGCAUGAAGUGGCCAUCAACAGGCGCGGCCUCAGGCACGUCGUCGGUGGAGAUUACACCGUUGGGCAGCCGCAGCAGCACGUACGGGGUGAUUUCGCACCCCACGAUCGGGAUCUCCGACGGCAGGUGCACCCGCACCACGCUCAGCAUCCUCCACUCCUGCUCCCCUCCCCUGCUCUCCUCUGCCCAGCCCAGGGGCGGAUCUAGAUGGUGUGCCGGGUGGGCACCGGCACACCCAAAAUUUGUGGACGCUGCGAGGACGGCGGAAGGCCAGGGCGACGUCGGGAGAGGAGGGGAGCGCCGCCGUCAAGGGGACCGGGAGAGCGAGACAGGGUUAGGGUUGGUUGCCUGAGGGUAUUUUUGGGCAUUUCGAAAAUCUAGAGUUGUGUCCAGCGCAUUUUUUUUCUAAACUAGUAUUGCGUAAGCGGGACGGAGUGGUAAUGUUUGUGCAAGACAAGAGAGAGCCGGAGAGGAUGACAUGUUUUUUUUAACGAUAAUAUUAAAAACUAGUCAAAUGUCCAUGGGACAAACUCAUAUGCGAUACUCACCGCAUUUGUAGUUAUAGAUUAAUACCUUUUCAUAGCAGUUUGCAGAGAUGGAACCAUGAAAGGCGUUGCAGACGUAUAAUUCACUCGCUAAAAAAUCCAUAUUGAGAAAAUAAUUAUGUACUUGAUAGACUCGGUCUCACGAAGUUCUGGUAAGAAGCCGGUUCGGAGGGACAAAGUUCCAGAAAGAUGGCCGCAAUGUCACGCACGACCAGGCGAAUUUGUGAUAGUUUUUUUGUUAUGAAAAAGCAAAGUAUAUGUGAUCGGCAUGCGACCUUGUGGAUUGGGGUUGAAAGUGUUGGACUGCAGUGUAUACCUUCAACCCACCACGUCUUGAUUUAAAGGCCAAAUCAACGUAGGAUUCGGACUCCUUAACUAAAUACGAUUAGGAUUCCCUAUCUAUGUCGGAUUUGGUCUCCUAUUCUGUGAUUGGCAAUUGGGAAUUUAGACAUUAAUCCAUAGCUUCUCCAACUCUUUAGUGAUUGAACGUAACGGUUGGUACAAGCUAGGCUGGGCGCGAUGGGCUGAGGCUGAGGCAAACCAACCAUGGACCUCGUACCGUUUAGAUUGAAAAAAGGACAUGUUUUUUUUUGUUUAUCGAUCAGGACGGACAGGCGCACGCACGAGGGUGAGUUGGAGGUUCAGAUCGGUUGGGCUUAGUGGAAGUUUUAAUGAAAAAGGCCUACGGACGUUCGCCAUCACCACCGAUUGUAAUAUAAUAGACAUUGUAGAUUAGUUAUGAUUUGGACCACCGGGCACCGGAACCCAAGCUGCUCAAUUUUGGCAAAAUUUGCAGAAAGCAAACUCAAACCCGAUGGCUCCUAUGUAGAUGGGAGUGAACUCAGAGUAUUCUCAUCGUGUUGCUACAAAGCUUUUCUUUGAUGAUGUUCCCUCCGUUGUGUUUCCCUUGCGUGCUCAAGGACACAAUGUUGUGAUUGAGGAAAUUGUUGAUGACCCUAGCUCUGCCAUCUUCCGUCCGUAAGUGAGGGCACAAGCAGCGCGUUGCUACUCCAGAAGUAACUUCAGGUCUGUGCCAUAGUUCAUGCUCUACCAUGUUUAGAGGAUUCAAGUCCUAGCUUGUUUCUGAUGUGCAGAAGAAACAGUCCAAGUGUCGAUGUUAUACAUUGUCAGAAUAUGAUUCGGGAUAGCACACGACCAAGGAUUACUACUACUCUUGAUGGCAACAGUCUACGUGUUUAUCAUUUGUUGGAACUCCAAGCACAAAGUGAUGUAACAAAGGGUGUUUUCCCCCACAAGUGUUUUACCCCCAACAAGCACCACAAUGGUUGUCAAUCACAAUGAUCACUAUACAGAAUCACUUAUUUCUGACGCGUUAAAAAACUUCUAGUCUGACGCAAAUGGGACGUGUCACUAAUCAAGUGUCAAAGAUGACUCGGGAACUUCUGACGUGUCAACAAGCGUCAGAAGUAGGAAACCCUAAUGACGCUUCUUGUCGAUUGUUAUUAGAGACAAGUAUCCUCAUGUCGGGUGAAGGCCAUGUUUGUUUGAGCUUCUGCUUCAGCUUUUGGUGGUUCUAGCUCUCUAAAAAGCACUGCUUCCGUUUACACAUGAAGCUGAGAAGCACGUCGUGAGGUGCUUCCCUCCAGAAGCUGCAGGAAGCACCUCCAGACGUGCUUCUCAGCUUCAUGUGUAAACGGGAGAAAUGCUUUUUAGAGGGCUAGAAGCAGCAAAAGCUGAAGAAAAAGAAAAAGCCCAAACAAACAGGGCCGAAGAUGAGUAAGAAGAUAGAGGGGCCUCACGGUGAUAUCUACUCGUGUAAGAUAGAGAACUCGGCGAAAGACAAGGGUUUAUACCGGUUUGACUUGCUCCUUUUCGUGAAAGCAAGCCUACGUCAUGUUGGUAAUCUAAUAUUUGUGUAUGAUAUUACAAGGUGUGUUCUGCCCAUCGAGGGCGCCUAGCCCGCUUUAUAUAGUCAAACAACUAGGGUUUCGGGUAGAGCCGGGUACAACUUUUACAUGGACUGUACCUUCCUAAACUAGUUAGGAUUCUUCCUUUACAAGAUAUCUACAACUAGUAUUUCCUAUUACCUGAACUAGGCUUCCUUCUUCAAUACGACAACUUCCUUGACCGAGUGAUAGGGGAUGUCUGGCUUGUGCGCUGAGUCGACUUUCUCUGUUCAGUCGUCUCUCAGCUACCCGGCUAGAAUAUCCUCGUCAUUAGCCCCGAGUACAAUGUGGAUAGGGGGGAGCUGAAUAAUGCCAUCGUCGUCAAUCUCGAAUCUUUCUCGUUUCAUGUGCUUUUCUUGAGUUGCUUCUUCUUGAUUUUAUUCCGACCUCAAAUCCACAAUGUACUUCUCUAUGACAGCUUGAGGUUCGAGCUCAUGGCUUCUUAUGCAUAAAGUUCAGCUAUAAGAGCAAACCAGCUUCUAUGUGGCAUGUGUUAGCAUUGCAGCGAUAUUAGCUCCUGUUUUGAUUUGUGUUUUUUCCUUAGCUGUAGCGUUGCUUUGAAUUAAUUAGCAACUACGUCGUGCAUGUAAAAAAAAGUGAGUUCCAACAAAUCUCUGACGUGCGCUAGAACAAGAGGUCAGUGAGCAUCAAAAGUAUACUGACGUGGCGACACAAGGAAGAGCUAGGAAAUUCCUCGUGAACAAAGUUGACGCUUCCACAAAGGAAAGAGUCACAUCAGCUAGAAUCUCCUUCGACGCUUACGAAGUAAGGAAGCGUCAGUAGAAAUGAAGAGUCAGAAGUGUGGAAGUUCUCCUACGCUUCUCCGAGGUAGGUGUCAGAAAUAUCUUAUUGACGCUGCCUCGUGGAUGCUACCUAUGACAGUCCUUAUAAGGAGCCGCAGAGAUAAGGAUUUGCGCUGACGCUUUUUAGUUUUGUGUCAGUGGGGAGCUUGCAAGAGUAAAGUCUAUAGUAGUGAGUGUAAGGCUAAACUUUAAAUAAACAAAUAAUAACUUUAAGUAAACUAAUGCAAAACAAUAAUUUAAACUAACUAGAAGAUGCAAUAACUAUAUAAUAAAUACUACUACUUAUUAUGCAACUAAAUAACCAAGAGAGAAUGUUUAAAUGGCUUUUUACAAGAUAUCUAAAAAAAAGCAAUUAAAUAAAUGCAAAAUAAUUGUAACAGAGGUGUUUCUUAUGAUAUUAAAGAGGACCAGGAUACUCUUUGCGGCAUGAAUAUAGCACAUAGGACAAGUUCAUUUACUUUGCAAUGUUUUUAUGAAGUGAAUGAUAAGCAUUCAUAUGGACAUCACGUCCUAAUAUUGAGAAUAUGCAAAAUAUCUCACUAAUGCUCCCUUGGUAAGUGACUCAUCAAACUAGAUUAUUGCUUUAGGUACUUUGACAUGAUGUUGAACUUUAAUGCAACUUUGAGCAAGCAAGACCACCAUUGUUGUCAUUUGGUAGCAUAAUGCGUAUUCAUUUAUCCCUAGCGGGUCAAAUCACUGAAAGGUGAAAAUCAUAGUGGUUCCCAAAAUUUUUGUCACUAUCCGGUUGCCACUACCAAUUGCUCUAUCUAAUACACACAUCCCCACACAUGCACAUGUAAACUAGUAUGAUUAGUACAAGUAAGCAAGAAGGGAUAGACAUAUGCAUCUAUCAAUACAUCAAAACACAAUCCAAACAUUGCAAACUCAUGACUCAUCUCAUAACAAAAGGUUCACCAAUAAAAAAUAUAACGAUGAUCAUAAUCAUGAUAGGAAACUCGUAUGAUUCUAUUACAACCCAUAGCCCAGCGAGGACUACUCCCUCAUCAUAUUGGUGAUGAUAGAGAAUAUGUUCAAGGAGAAGGAGAGGCGACCGAUGGUAUUUUCCCUUCUAAUCUUGGAUCAAUCUGAUGUUGUUUUUUUUCUUUCCGAGUCGUUGUGCUAUGCAAGCGCAAAGCACGGGGUAUUAAUAAAUGGUUUUAGGUCAAGACGAAUCUUCGGGUGAAAGAAUGCACUUGCGGGCGGCCACUCGGGAUAAAAAACAACCAUGGUGAAUUAUGAUAAUCUAGUUUUUUCGACUACUACCUCUGAUCCUAAAUUGUUGUCGUGGUUUUACUUCAAAUUUGUACUAAAACCACGACAAGAAUUAAGGAUCCGAGAGGUAGUUUUUACCUAUUUUUCAAUUCGGCUUACCUAUUAUUUUCUAAUUUUCUUUGUAUGUUUUGACAAAUUCAGCACACUUCAGCAACCCAAACUGAACAUUAGUCCCGUACAGGAUUCCAGAGUGCGUUGUACGCAUGUGUUAGUAUAUUCCUAAGCAAGCAAGAAAAAAAUAAAAAGAAGCAAAUAGUAGCAACUAUCGGUUGAUCCCGGCCCUGGGCCAGGACAAGAAGGGCGACAGCCCGGGCCCGCCCAAUCCAGGGGACCAGAUCAUAUGUGUAUACGCUAGUAGAGAUACAUGUCCAAAUAUUGAUUAGCAUAAAAGAAAGAGGAAAAAAGCUAGAGGCCCAGCAGAUUGCUCCGCUCCUGGCCAACCCAGGACGUAUCAACGUGCUCGAAAAUUCCCCUUGGCACCCGGUAUCCAGGCCUAUGUGUAUCUCAGCCGACCAAUUUUCCAUCCUACGGCUCCAUCCUGCAGCUCCUGUCGUCCGGCCCGUUUAAGUAUACAAUUUGCUAUUCUCCCGUACAGGCGGUAUUUGCACCGGUUGGCCUGACACAUCCUUUUUUAUAUUGCGUUUCCCAGGCUGGCUGGCCCAAGUCCCACCUCGCGCAUUGCUGGGUGAGCACAAGUCCUUUUCUCCCGCUGCAUACCGUGGCACAGGUCUGCCCUUGAGACAUCGCAUUAAAUUUCCAUCAGUCCCAUUUUUUUGGCCCAAGAUUUCUGGGCAGGCACAGGUCCACGCCAUUGGGGGGGCGGUGGCGCGGCUGGCGAGGCCGACGUCGCGGCUGUCGAGGGUGCCUGCCACGGGCGAUGAGUCACCGAGUCAGGCUUCGGUGCCCAGAGCUGAAAAGCGUGCCGCGGUAGACGAUGUUGGGCGCCUUAAUGCCGUGCUCGGACACGAUUCGGUCGGGGACGAAGCUGUCAGUUCCCGCGCAUAGCUCAUCAAGGCUGUACUCUGUGAUCAUCGGCACAGCACUGUCGUCUUCCCCAGUUUCCCCAUUCUCUAUUUCUCUACACAGGGAAAGCAAACAGCAAGGGGAAGAGCAUCCAUCCUGUAAAGCAACGAGCUGCCGGCGAUGGCCUUCUCCACGACCGCGGAGCAACGCAGCGCCGUCCCCGUGCCUUCGCUGGAUGCCCGCUCGCAGCUCCGUGAUGGACCGCUUCCGCACGAGCACCGCCCGCCCGAACGGGUCGUGCGCGUCGGCAAGCGCGAGGGCCGAGGGACACGUUGAGGUGGCCAAAGGCCGGGUCGCUAGGGAAGAACUCCGAGCUGCAGACCGGGGGCGCGGGGCAGGGACGGAUGUUCGGGCAUCGGCCGGACCUCCUCCGUUGGCAGCUUCCGCAGGCGAGGAAAACUUGAGGGGCAACGGCAGAUAUUUGGGAUUUGACGUGGGUAUUGGUGCUCCGAUCUUUCCAUCAGAUUGAUAACUCUCGAUUUGGGUUGAAGAUGACGUUUGACGAUCCGACUACGGUCUAAAAGACAGCGCCUUAGUAAUCAAUACACCAACUACAGAGAGUUAUUGAUCACGCGGGGCACGAUCAACCUGACCACGAAGGUUUUUAUUCCUGCAAGCAAUCGAAAAACAAGCAAGACCAAGAUAAAUAGUGGAUGCAAUCUGAAAUUGCGAAUAUACUAUAUCAAACCAAUGUCUCAAUGAGACGAUAAGUUGGGAUUUCGAAAGUGGUAAAGCAGGUGGUCUAGCCGACAUAGACGAUUACACGAAGUUGUAGCGAUGGCUAACUUUUAACUAAACAAAACCCAAGUCUCCAUAGGGAGGCUAGUGGGGUAUAUAAAAGAGGAGGGAGAGAGAUUUUCGCCCACCUUGAGUAAGGAGGCCGAAAUCCAAAUCUAUUUCUAACUUUUCUAACAAACUAUAACUCUUUAGGAAACAAAAAAACAGAUCCGUCAUCUUGUUUUGUCUGCCACGGCCAGCACGCGUCGAAUCUCCUUGUGGGGUCAAAUCUGUUGGAAAGGUCUUGUAAUUACCUUUCCAACAAGUACUUGUUUGCUUGAUUUGGACUCUGAAUGCGGUCUGGGUGAUUAAAACAAAUUCGGAUCUCCUGACAGCUCGGACCCGAAUCGGAUUCAACUUUAAUUCGUGAUAUCUUUCACUAGCAAGCUCCGAACCAUGUGCCGUUCGAUUUGUUGGAAAGUAGACUUGAUAGGCUUCACCUUGCAUCUCCCGUUGCAUGCUAUCGCACCUCAUCUUCACUUUGGAUUUGAAAAGCUCGACCAAAUAUCUACAUAAUAAAAUGAUACAAGAUAGUAGCUCUGCCUCUUCAUGCAUAUGGCAUUGAAAACAAAUAGUACUUGACUUCACCUGAUUAUAAAAUGUUAUCGAAUACUCUAGAACUGAGGGUGCCAAAGGUUGUAUCUAUGGUUAGCAUGUCCAUAUCAUCUUCCCUUUCUUGAAACAAAAGCCGUCCUCGGUGUCGUUUGUGCUGAAAAGAGACUGACAAAACAGACAAAGUGUGUGCAUGGGUAUAUGUACAUGUCAUCCAUCUUUAUACAUCUCCUUUCUUGCACAAUUAAUGUUUUAUAAAAAAAUCUCAUGAGAUAAGUAGUCAAACAAUCAUCAUGAAUUACAUUCCAGCAAGAAGAUUGACAAUAUGUUUUGCAUAUAUAAGUGAAACAAUAUCUUAUACUAGUAAAAAGCCCGUGCUUUGCUACGGAAGAAGACUUUCUUUUAAAAACAUGCUAUAGGUUAAUUUUCAAAUAGUCGGCUGACUUGGGCUUGCGGGGCUGCGGCUUGGGCUGAAAGGUGGAGAUGGGGUUGGUGGGCCUGAAGGGGGCUCGGGGUUGCUGGGUUGCUGUGGGAUCGAGGCAGCGGGGAGGUUGAAGGCACGGGAGCAAGGGGAGGCAGUGCCGGCGAGGUGGACGAUGGGAGCAGCACGCGAGGGUGCUGGGCUGCCACGGUGACUGGAGCUUGGCGACAACGUUGGCGGAUUGCAGCAGCGAGGGAGAGGAGAAGAGGGCGCAACGAGUAAUGAAGGCAGGAGCGCCAGAGAGAGGAGGCGGCUAGACAGAGGAGAUCGGGAGGGAGAAAGGAGCUCGAGGGGAAAGAUGAAGGAGCAUAGGGGAUAUCGGGGAGGACCGGCUGCCUGGUUGGGUGGACGGGCAGGACAAGAAAAGGGGACGAGAGCGAGAGGGAUAGGGUUCGAGGAAGCCCGCAGAGGUUAGGGCUCGGGGGUCAGACGGAUGUUUUUCGGGACUGGGGAUAUGCAGUGGCAUAUUGAGCGUAAUUUUAAUGGAGUGACGUACCGCGACACCUGUACCAUCACCACCAACUCCAAUUUAAUAUAUUUGUAUAGAUUUAGUUUGCACCGCUCACCAUUAUACCAUCCCAACACUGGAGAAUAAUAAUUAAUGGUACCCAAAUUAGUUACUACAAGAUGCUGAAAUUUAGAGCAAGUCAAAGCAGUAAUAUUCAAACAAUCGUGUAAACAACUAUUUGGCAAAUAAUCAACACCAAUAUUGGAGAUCAUAUCAAAAUAGUUAAGCAUAUGCAAGAAUUUAUUUUCUCCCAAGAUAGUAAAAUUAUCACAAGUAAUACAAAUUUCAUGUACCAAAAAGUUAUUAUUCACAUCAUGUUCUCCAAUUAGUUGAAUAGUGGAUCCAUGAACAUUAGGAAAAGAUUUUGAAAUUGUUAACUUGGACACUUUUUCCAUUGCAUAUGAUAAAUACAUAUGUGUAUCAAGUGUAAUAUAACACAAAGAAUUAAUAGGUGGAUCCUUAUGAAUCACUCCAUGUCUAAUUAACUCGACACAACCUAAGCCAAAUUUAUCUAUCUCACAUGUUUCUCCCAAAGCAUUAGUUCUGUCCUGACAUGAUUCAUGCUCAUCAAUAUCAAAAUUAAUAUGUGCACUAAAAUCAUUAGAAAAAUUAAUUUCAGCACUAGGUGUACUCAAAUCAGCAUGUAAAUCAACAAUUUCACAUGGUGCAGAAAAUUCACCGAGUAUCUCAUUUAUUUCAUCACAUGUCAUAUUUAGUUCAGGAACACAAUCAUCUUUACCAUUACCUUGUGGUCUCGACUCAUUUGUAGUAGACCUUCACUGUAAUUUCCUCUCAACUUCACGAGCAAGAUUAAGCAAACACAAAAAAGAGUCGUAUUUUCCAUAUUCAAUUAUGUAAGAAAUAUCAAAGUUAAGCCCACAAUAAAACCUAUCCAUUUUUGUUUGUUCGGUUUCAUCUAAACCAGAUCGCAAGGUUAGAAUUUGGAACUCCUGAUAGUAAUCAUCAACAGUUUUAUCAUCUUGUUUCAAACGUCGUACUUUUGCACGCAAGUUACAAGCAUAACUAAAAGGGACAUAUUUUUCUCUCAUGAUUUUCUUCAUAUCAACCCAAGUGUGAGGAAUUUUCUUUUCUCUAACUAUCUCACUCCACCAAGAUAAAGCAGCAAAAGUAAAUUUACUACUAGCAAUUUGGAACUUGCGACUAUCAAGUACAUGGAAGCAUGUGAAUUGUUCAGUUAAAGCUAUCUCCCAAUCUAUAUACGUUUCAGCAUCAUUUUCCCCCUUAAAGAAAGGUACACACAAUUUAAUUGUAUUGGAAGGAUUGUUUCGUACCGUUGCCGUCGCAUUGUCAACAAAAGACGUGGAGGAUGGCCAUGGUGAAAAGCACUCAUCGCGGUCACGGGAUUGCAUCGGUCUAGUUCCCAUGCUUCGUGUAAGUCCUGUCAUUGUUAGUAGAAAACAAGAAACAAAUCACAGUAAUAUGUUCCUAUCAACUAAUAGGAUGUGGCUACAAGUCGUUCAACUCUCAAGCUAAAAAUCAAGUUCUUACAAGUUCUUACCAUGCAACAAGAAGGUGAUGGCCAGCGGCUUGACCAAGCCCCUCCGAGGAUUAAAUGUAUCAAUGCCUCGGUAACAAACCAACCUAGGUGUAGAAUCUGUGUAGCUUGGAAGCUUUUGUGAGUAGCAAGGAAUAGCAAAUAAUCAAACAGCAAUGCAAAGUUGAAAAUAUGCUAAAUAAUGCUAGUCCUAACUGCUGGAGUCGAUAAUAACGAAUUACAGAAAUAAUCUAAGCCUAGAUAGUGAAGAAGGUAGGAUAGAAAGAUCAAAAUAAAGGUAAAACAACUAAAUCUCUAGGAUUUUUCUUUUCUUUUAUUUAUUUAUUUAUUUAUUUUUGUGGCCUUCUGUUUGGCUUCUUAUUCUUUUCUUCUUUUUUUAUUUUUUUAAUCCCAGAAACUCAUGCAAAAGAAGUAAAGACCGGAAAACUGCACGUCGGUCUGUCGAAGAACAGCAAAGGGUGCUGUAAGAAAAUGUCAGAAAAAUAUGGAAAAAUAUAGGUUAGGAGCGUAUCGAAACAAGCUUUCCAGGAAGUGCAAGAUCACUCAAAUCGGAGGCCGGACGAUGGAGAUAACGUAAAAACACCGGCCUGCAGCGAUGCCGGAAACCGGAUGCAGAAACUUGGAAGCUCUGAAAGUCCACCUUACAAACCGAGUUUGAGGGUCAAGGAGUCAGUGCGAUGCCCUGGAUAUUUUCUCGUGCGCUUCGUCAUGAGCUUUCCAGAAAGUACUAGAAGGUCCAAAUCUGAGUUGGUGACCGUUUUACUGAACACGGGUCAAACCCACUCGAAACUAUAAUUCUCCUGAACGUGGAUCUGAAACUGAUUCUUUUUCUCUCUCUUUUUUUUCAUUUUUUUUCCUUUUUUUUCCUUCCUUUUCUUUGCUUUUUUUUCACAACUUUCCGAACAACUUGAUCUCUAAACAAAAUUCGAUCUAUUAUGAAACACUUUCCAAAAGCACUCUCGAUUGGACUCGGACUCGAACCCGGAGAAGGACUCGGUGUAUGACUCGAUGGAAGAUUAUGGCGUGGCGGUGGUGUGGCAGGGAGUUUGGCGGCAGAAAAUUGAGGAAGGAAACCUGCGUCACACGAAGAACAAGAAAACCAAAAGCAAGUUCGAUCUAGUAGAAAAAGUCUGAAAAACGAUCCAAUCUAAUCCAGCAACUCGACACGAUUAAUGCAGCAAAGGUUCAACAAUGCAAAUACUAAUGUGAAAAUUGCAAGGCUCAGAUUGGUUUUUGGGACGAAGGUAAGUAAUCUCUACUUUUUUAUUGUCUUUUUCUGGACUAUAGGUAAAACAUAUCUAAACUAUGGAAAAAUACCACGUGAUGUGGGUCGGGGUGGCCCGAUAUUUCGAUGAGAUUGAUAACUCUCGAUUUGGGUAGGAGGUGACGUUGACGAUCCGACUACGGCCUUGAAAGCAGCGUCUUAGCAAUCGAUACACCAACUCCAGAGGGUUAUUGAUCACGCGGGGGCACGAUCAACCUGACCACAAAGGUCUUUGUUCCUACAAGCAAACGAAGAACAAGCAAGAACAAGAUAAAUAUCGGAUGCAAUCUGAAAUUGCGAAUAUACUAUAUCAAACCAAUGUCUCAACGAGACGAUAAGUUGGGGUUCCGAAAGCGGUAAAGCAGGUGGUCUAGCCGACACACGCGAUUACACGAAGUUGUAGCGAUGGCUAACUUUUAACUAAACAAACCCAAGUCUUCAUAGGGGGGCUAGUGGGGUAUAUAAAGGAGGAGGGAGAGAGAUUUUCGUCCACCUUGAGUAAGGAGGCCGAAAUCCAACUGUAUCUCUAACUUUCCUAACAAACUACAACUCUUUAGGAAACGGAAAAACAGAUCCGUCAGCUUGUUUUGUCCGCCACGGCCAGCACGCGUCGAAUCUCUUGUGGGGCCAGAUCUUUUGGAAAGUUCUUGUAAUUACCUUUCCAACAAGUACUUGUUUGCUUGAUUUGAACUCCGAAUGCGGCCUGGGUUAUUAAAACAAAUUCGGGUCUCCUGACAGCUCGGACCCGAAUCGGAUUCAACUUUAAUUCGUGAUAUCUUUCUCUAGCAAGGUCCGAAUCAUGUGCUGUUCGAUUUGUUGGAAAGUAGACUUGAUAGGCUUCACCUUGCAUCUCCCGUUGCAUGCUAUCGCACCUCAUCUUCACUUUGGACUGGAAAAGCUCGAUCAAAUACUUACAUAAUAAAAUGAUACAAGAUAGUAGCUUUGCCUCUUCAUGCAUAUGACAUUGGAAACAAAUAGUACUUGACUUCACCUGAUUAUAAAUAUUAUCGAAUACUCUAGAAUUGAGGGUGCCAAAGGUCGUAUCCAUGGUUAGCAUGUACAUACCAGGCUUGCAGUACGAUGCCCGGAGCUGGGGGAGAUGGCGCUGCACAUGUCGUAUCUGAAGGAGGCGGCGAUUGAGGUGAAGAAGACGGUGGGGGAUGAGACGGUGACAGAUGGGGAAGAGAGGUAGAUGAGGGCGAUGAAGGGAAUAUGCCCUAGAGGCAAUAAUAUUGUAUUAUUAUAUUCCCAAGUUUGUAAUUGAUGUUUAUAUUUCUAUGCUAUAAUUGCAAUGGUUCUUGAACGUGAGAUUCGGAGGAAAACUCAUUUGCAUGUGUGGAAACAUAAACCCUAAUUUAAAGGUCCCUAGUCACGCCUCUUUGACUAGCUUAUAUAUAAUUGAUGAUUCUGUUUUCCUGAUCAUGAGCAUACGAUGCUGGUUAUAUAUGAGAGCACAUUGUUGGUUGAACAAUGGUGUUGGAUUGACCCAACUAAUGAUAUACCGAGAGAUCACAUCGAUUACUUGUUAUCGGUAUUAUUGUUAUUGUUGUAAUUAUCAUUAUCCUUAGACCAUGAAAAUAUCGUAUGAUAUUUAUAUCGGAAGGAUAAUUUGGGUGUUACUUAUUGUUUCCCGUAAUAGGGUUAUCAUGACGGUGAUUUCCGGGUACUCCGGAAAGUACGAAUUGAUUCGAUAGUUCAAGAUUGGGAUUUGCUCCUCUAUCGGUGGAGAGAUACACUAGGGCCCACUCGGUACGAAGAUAUCUAUCACCGUCUGGCCAGACACAAGAAUGAUAUGAUCAUUGAGAUAUCGGAGUACGGAAUGAGUUAAAAGUACAAAACCGGUAACGGGGAUAGCUAGGUACAAGUGGAACAAGGGUUGGUUCACGGGCGUACCGGAAGUCUCACCCCGGGUUUUGUAAACGUAUCGUGAAGCAAAGGGAAAUGGUUUUUAGUAACAAAUGGUUCACUUGAAAGUCUUCGUGUAUGUGUAGUAAUUAUUGAGAGUGUCCAGGCUCUUUAAAUAAUUAUUGACUGGGUCAUAGCUACACAUUUCCCAACCUAGGCGGUCAGACGCUUAACGACGAAUGGUUAUUUGAAGGUCUAAAGUUUGGAAUUUGGUCAAGAGUUGAAUACUGAAGUUGUUCAGAAUGACGAGACAUAUUUUAUGGAGGUCCUAAAUGUGAUUUAGGAGUUACAGAAAUAUUCGGAGUAAUCAUGAGUGCUUCCGGAAGGUUUUAGAAGCCUCUAGAAGGAUCCGAUGGAAAUUCCGGAAGGUCAAAUGGCAAAAGGUCAAAAGUCAAAGGUGGGUCAAACCCUGGUCAAAGGUUGACCAUGGGGGCCAGCCAUCUUGGUUUGGAGAAGGGGUUAUAAGACUCCUAUUAGGAGUUCAUAUCUAUUCCUAUUAGAGGUAGGCGUGCUACUCUUUUUGGAGGAGGACUCUUUUCGUCCUUUGGCCGGACGCCCUCCUAUAUAAGGAGGGGAGGGGUGGCCGGUUAUAGGGGCACUCUCGCUAGUUGUCCUUUGCCCGUCAAGUUCGAGCUCUCUCAUCUAAAGUUUAGACGUCUAAUUAGUAAAUCGUCUACUUUCCGAUCUAGUUUCUUCCAGCGGUUCUUCGUACUGGACGUGAAAGUGCUGCUGAACUAUUCCUCCGGGACGUGUGGAUACGUGUGGAGAGAUCGCCCACUUCGAUCUUGCAGGCGGAUCGCUGUUCGUCUACUUCAAGCUUUCAGGCGCAGCAGAUCGUGCGAGGAAUAUUCUCACGGCUGGGCGGUAUAACCUAACUGCGGGAAUCUGCUACAGGCUUCAACGACAAUCUAUUUCCGCUAUGGUUUUUUGGUAGAUGAUCAAUCUAUCGCAUCCGCAUAGUGAUCUUGAUUGGUUCGUUCGUAGGAAAAUUUUAAUUUUCUGCCUACGUUCCCUUUCAGGCGAAUGGAGGCGGUGGAGGGACCCGAGACGUGGGGUGGGCGGCCUGCUGUGCGUAUUUUAUUUAUUUUCUUUACUACUACUACUACUUAAGCCACAGUUAUGUCCGUGGUUUACCGUAAGUCCUCCCACCCCCCACAGAAAAAAAAGUCCUGAAAAAAUCCGGUCCCCCCACCCCUUCUGAGGAAACAUUCGCCCAGAAGGAAAUAUUCAAUCAACCAUCAAUUGAUUGAGUUCAAAAGAUGACCCAACGCAUUAGGCAACUCUUGGAGAGAUUUCAGGAGAGUAUGGAAAGAUUGUUAGGAGUUGGCCGAGUUGUGGGAGUGAUUUCAGGAAAGGACAUCUUGGUUAGUUGCACGUAUAGCGUGAGUUUAGGGGCUAACGGUCUGAGAUUGGCUGUUAUUUAUGGCAUGCUUUGUAAUCUUGUUUUUGGAAACAGAAAGAGGAAUAGGAAAGGAGAAAAUCUCGGGCUGUGAGAGGCAGCCUCGAGGCCCAAACCUUGCCUUCCUUAUGUUCGUGGUGUUGCCAAGAAAAGAGAUAUCGUGAGAGAGGGAGCUGCAGCGACAGAGAAGAAGAACUGGAGUUGCAGAUUCCUGCCGCGGCAGGAAAUAUUCUGCCGCGGAAGAAAAUCUGCAGGCUGGAGCUGCGUGAGGUAGACGGGGAAGAAGAAGGGGAGCAGCAGCGGCUAGCUGCUCCAACAUAGCCUUAUCAGUUGCCGGGUAUUAACUGGACAAUUCCUAAUCAUGCUUCAUGAAACGGUGCUAAAACAUUGUCCUGUGUCGCAAGUCCCAACAAUCCUAAUGGAUUUCAUUCUGCCGAGUCAUUAAAGGUCUGUGCUUGUUACUCCUAAUUCUGAUCAUAGUUAUUGUAACGUGCUUCUAUCUAGAAGCCGAUGUACACCUAUCAUGUUUGUCAGUUAUAACUUUGUAUGCUUUAAGAAGAUCUAUUUUGUACUUUGGGCUAGGUAUUUUCUACUUCGUAUGCUUCAAGGAAGGUAACUGACUGAGAUGAGAUGCAUAGUUGUUGCCAGAGAGAAGGGACGUUAGCACGUGGCAAACGUGGUUAGCAAUAAAAAUGCAAUCAGAGAGAAGGGAAGUUGGAGAAUGAAACAAAUAUUUAUUGUGAUAGGUUAAAAGUUAUACACAAUUAGUGUACAUAUUUAUUUUUAUUUAUUUAUUAUUUUUCGUUGCAACGCACGGGUACUUUGGCUAGUAUAUUUAUUUGGAGAACAUCCGUAUUUUAUUUGGUGGGCGAUGGAACAAGACAGACAUGUACCAUGCCUUCUUGGUUUUGAGUUGGUCCAGAAACAUCUCACAAAUGGUCCAACAACCCAACACAAAUGACCUAGUAUUACUCACUGUUCUAUACCAAUAGUGGGCCAAAAAGCGGAAAUUCCAUUUGGGUCCUGGGACCCCCUCCCUAUCUCCAUCAUUCCGCCGAUGUUUGAUGUUUGCUUUUAGACCCUGUUUGUUUGGGCCCUGAUGGUCGCCCUUUGCGUAUUUGUGAAAUCAUAGGUGAUGUGUAACAUUGGUAAGUAUUUUAGAUGAAACAUUGAUGUGGAUACUUUGGCUAAUAUGGAUUGACGAAGAUGUAACUUCGACAAUGUCCAUAUUGAUGGACUUGUAUCAAGGAAAGAGGAGUGUGUGUUGGCGAACUCGUCGGCUAACAAGGACACAGGGGACACGAUUUACCCAGGUUCAGAGCCCUCGAUGAGGUAAUACCCCUACGUCCUGCUUGUCGGAUCUGUAUUGAUGAGUCGAUUACAAUAGGGUGCCGCAGAGUCUAGACGCACCGAGUCGUCGAGUGCGUCCAGGCGACUUGUAUCUAAGCUCGGGGGGUGUCCUCUUGGCUCCCCCUCCUGGUCCUUUAUAUAUGCAGGAACUCACAUCCGAGGUAGAGUCCAAGUAGGUUACAAUGAAAAGACAUACUCUAAUUAUUCUUCCUUAUCUUGAGUCGCAAGAUUUGGCAUGUAAACUCCUGGAGUCGAAGUAGGCUUCCUUGUGGGCCCCUAGCUGGGCUGUAUCGGGUAUACUCGAGUCGAGUACGUGGUUAGUCAUAACCACGUCAUGGAUACUUAUGUGAUGACAUGUAUCUUGUUUGGACUUAGUGGUUUGCUAUUGGUGUGUUGAUCCAUUAGUUUCUUAUGUAAAAACAUGGCGUGAGUUGUGUUGAAACUUACCUUGAGUGAAGUCGUGGACUUGUGCUCGUACUGGUUAUUUGUGUGUUCACUUUCAGGUGUUGCCGGAGCUAGAAGAACAUGGUCGGUGAUGGGAUCGAGGGACGAAGCUUGGGAGAAGCUGAGGUCAAGGGAUCAAAGUCAUGCGAGACGUUCAUGUGAAGGAACAAUGGAAGUGAAAUAUACGAUGAUUCGGGAGGGCACCGGUUUGUCGUAUGUUGUUUAUACCGGAGAUGUAUGGUAUUGUAGAUAUUUGACACGUGAUGGUCGAGUUUUGAAGACAUCACAAGAAGAGUCAAGGAGUCCAAACAAGACCAGAUGUUCCCUAUUGUUAUCGGGAACGAGACUAAAUGUUCGGCCUUAAUGAGAUGGACCUUGAUUCCUCUCCGGCCAGGAAAAGAUGCGGCUCCUCUUUGUUUUGUUCUACUACCUUCAUCCUCGGGUGAAGCCGGUUGGCUCACCAAACAAGAGGCCUACUGUUAAAUCAUUGGUAACCAUGCCUAACGGUCGGUCCUCUAAGCUAUCGGCCAAGGCAAGUGAGAGCUGUUCAAGAGUUGGGGGCAUAUCUUUAGCUCGAGUAGCAUUCGCUCCCAAAAUGUGUGGCAUCGACGUGAAGACAUGUAGGUCCAGCCGUGGCUGGAUGAGAGCUGUUUAAAGACUAAACAAUAGUGUCAUGAAUAUGGCGUCCGAUGGAAAAGUGGUCCAUAUGGAAGUUGUGCGCGUCGUGACGCUGUGUGAAUGCUUUCUUUUGGCCUACGGGCUCCUACCUCCACAUCGCGUGCUUCGUGACGCUGUGUGAAUGCUUUCUUGGAAUAAAUCCCCAUAUGGGUCUUUGGAAGAGAAUGUUCACCAUCAAGCGCCAAGGCAAGGAUGCGAUUGGAUGGGUGAAUAUUCAAACUCAUGCGGAUGCCAAAUUCUUCAACCUCCGAGAGAGGGCAUCAUCUUCUCGAUGGAAAUCGAGGUGGUUCUUUGUCAUGGAUGUGCCGGCCGAAGGACGCGACUUCAGUCUUCCCGAAUUCUCCGUGACCACGUCGGUGAAGAAGACGAUGGCCUGGAGUCAUAAAUUGGGAGGAACAGAGGGUGAAGAAGCCGAGACUCUAUUGGCCCGAGUUCUGUCUCUCAUGGAGACUCCUCAGUUGAAGGUGACUAGAAUUCACCUCAUUGCCGCUUUUAUCCGGAGAAGAAUUCAGCCUCUGCAGGCUCGUGCUCAUCCCAUGUGGGCAUAUCGGGGGGGUUCAUGACUCGACCCGAUUUAGUACCGAGGAAUUUCGUUCGACUGAAGUGUGUCGACGAGUUCGGCGACUUACUAACUUGGACGAGUCGGAGCCCUGCGAGAUUGACCCUCCAGUGGCUCCCUAUGGGCCUGACAGGUCCCUAGAAAAGAUGACCACCGAAGCGUCUGACAAGCCCUGCUGUUUUUUGGCAUGAAUUAUUUCUGAUCAUGGUUUUGAUUUUAGGGACCCGAUAAUGAUCUAAGCGGCGCUUCCCCACCGGCAAAGAAGCGCGGCAGAGGAAAAUGACUUGUCGGUACAGACCCAAAUGAUAAGCUUGAGGGACCCGAACGUCGGGCCGUCAGUGUCUGUACCUGCGCUCAAGAGAACCAAGUCCGACGGGCCAAUCGCGACUCUCGCUUUGGUCUUUUUGCAUGACUCAACCGUGCCAGGUGAAUCUUUUAGCCAUCUUACUUCAGUAUCCUAGAGAUUUUGACUGAACCUCUAAAAACUUCUUGAUUAGCCAUACUAGUGGCUCAGUUGAGAGCAAAAAGGCUCCCUGGACUCAAUCGACUGGUCAGGACUUGAAAGGGUCGGACCAGCCGACUAAACAAAAGACAGCCCAUACCAAGGAGGCUUCGGCGGCUAAUCCGAGCAGAGGAAGUCGACCAGAUGAGUCGAGCGUUCCUCAGGCGACGGUUCCUGCGUCGAGUCGACACGUGAGCAAAUUUGUCAUUUGCUAUUACCUGCCUCCCGGUGGGAGUGACACUCAAGAAAUGACUUGAGAUUGCUUUUUUGUUUGUAGCCAAUCAUCCGCUCCAUGGCAACUCUUAUUGAAGAGUUUGAGGAGACGAAAGCAGAUCGGGAGCGACUUCGAGAAGAGCUGAGUCAAUGAAGCGAUCCUCCCCCUUACAAGGGUUCGAUCUCUGUGCUUACCGUGCUAGUCCCUGGAUCGACUCACUAGCACACACAGUUUCAUGAUGAAAUAUACAGAAACAAAGGUCAAAAGUACUUUAUUACAUCGCAUCAUUCAGAAUUUAAAUAGUACUUACAACCUCGCAUGACCUCUUGGCCAGCAUAAAACAAAUACUGUUUCAUCAUCAUAAAACAAUGUUUCAAAACUGCAGCGGAAAAGGGUAGAACAAAAGGGCCUCAACUACUCCAAGGUGAGAGCAUGUUGGAAUGUAAGCACAUGACCCAUGACAAAACGACGAACCUCACUCAUCGUCGGAUCCACCUGCAUUGUAAUUGCAGCCACUACGUGGUCAAUACAUUUGAAUGUAUUGGCAAGUUCACCAGAGUUAUAAAGGACCUACCAAGUAUAUGCAUAAUUUGGCUAGGUGGAGUUUGGCUGUUUGCAUAAAAGCAUCAUAGUUCAAUCCUAUCAUUUUUAAACAAUUAGUUUUGAAUUCUAUUGGACACGGGAUAGAAACACCCAUGCUCCUAUUAACCUAGGCACAUUGAGUAGAAACAUCAAUGCUCCUACCCAGUUCAAACCAUUCUUUUUAUUAGGAAAUUGGAAUGAGUGAGACCUUUCUUACAGCCCCAAUAUCUAGUUGCUCAUAAUUGUCCGUAACCGGGGACACGGCUAAGUACUUAGUUUGACACUCUCGAGAGGUUGUACACAUUCCCCACAAGAAAUCGACGUGUUAAUCCCUUGCUGUCCUCAGGGUAGAGUAGCAACGGCAUCGACUACAGGAUUUUUCAGAACAUAAUCUCCCAGACCACCUGAUGGACGCGCCCCCACCUACACUGCUACAUACCGAUGUCACCUCGGAUCCGGGUUCAUAUUUCUUACAUCCAUCCUGGCAGAGCCCAUAAUACCAUGUGGUUGUACUGGAAUCUACUAAACAAGAAACUAGUCCAGUCUCUGGUUACCCCGGGUGGCAUUCCUCAGUUGCAACGCAGGCGCUCCCAUAGAAAUGGUGAGACGACUCAUAGAAAUGGACCCAUAGAAAUGGACCUGACGUCGCAUACAUCUCCACUUCCUCAAAGCAGCCCACCCAGGACGGUUUAUUGAAUUACUUGUUUUGCCGUACACUAGGAAAACCAUAUUGUAAUUCAAUAGUAUCACAUUGUAAUAAUACCACCCUCGUAUAUUAUCAUAUCCUAGCAUUUUACUACCACGAUGGCAAUUGGUGGUGGGAACAUGGCAAAGGUAUUCUACACUAUUAGGAGAAUCAUAGCAUAGCAUAGAUACAAUAAUAAUCCUAACAAUGCAACUAAUAAAAUCUAGUGCAUAAUAAAGUAAUACGUGAAUGAUCAAAGUGAACUUGCCUUGAUAGUAGUUGGUAUUCAAACACUCUUCGCAAUCACACAGUUCGUUCUCCAAGAAAACUAAUCAAAUACAAACAUUGCAUACAUAAGCACACAAUACAAUCAAGAGUAAAAAAGUAUGCCAUGAUGCAAUGUAAAACAUGUGACAUGAGCUUGGUUUAUUUUAUUUGAGUGAUCUACUGAUCCUAAGCAUAAGUAAUUAAAACAAAUGCAUUAGCGUUUUAAAUAGAAAGGCAAAGGCUAGGGUUUAAACCCUGAAAUAAGGUUUUAUUUGCGUCUGCAAAGAAAUUUAAUUCAAAAUAUUUAUUUCUCUGUCUUUAUGGACAGAGGAUAAUAAAAUAAAAUUUUGGGCACUGGUUUCAUUCAAAAAGGACUUCUAAAUAAUUAGUUAUGAUUUAAAUAGUAUUAUACCUUAUUCUGUAAUUUGAAUGUGAUUCAAAUUUUCAAAUUUAAAAAUGGACAGUGCCAAAAGAUUCUACACUUCCUAAGGAUUUCAAAAAGGUGUGGAUCAUCAAAUUUGGCCAAACAGAUUAAAAGAUAUGAUCAUUUGAAGUUAGAGGGGCUUUUCUGCAAAAGUGCCAUUUCUAAUUAUUCCGGGAAUUAAAAUUAGAUUUUCGUUUUAUAAAAUAGGUGCCACAUGUCACGUUCUCAUUGGUGCGUACCGGUUCGGUUAAAAAUAAACACGGGAUCUAAUCCUAGCCCUCGGAUCUGGAUCGGACGGACGGGGCGGGCUAGGGUUUACCUCCGUGGCGGCGGCGGUCGCCGGAGACGAGGGAGACGGCGGCGCGGGCACGGGCGGGCGGCUCCUCCGGUGAAGUUGACGGCGCGGGGAGGUGCUGGGUCGACACGGCGCGGUACGGCGAAGUCGGGGGCGAGGUCGGCGCUCCUCGGGGUCGUCGGGGUGCUCGCCUAGGAUGGCGCGGAGACAGCGGCGAGCGGCGGACGGCUCCGGAUCUUCGGCUUGACGACGGCGAGGCGCUGCGGCGCGCAAAAAGGAGAAACGGACGCAUCAAAAGAUGCGCAAGGACGAAGGAAAGCGAACGGCUAGAAAUGGGCAGAGUUUUGACCUUAGGGUUCACCGGCGGCGACCAAAACGUGCGGCGGCGAGCGACGAGCUCCGGCGAGCGAUUCCGGCGGAGUGGGCGCGUGAGAGAGAGGGGAACGAAGGGGGAAGAAGAGAGGGGGGCGGGGGGCAGAGCUUUAUGUUGACGCGCUCGGGGCUGCGAAAUAUGGACGGAGCGCAGAGAUCUCGGCGGAGACGGCACGCGGUGGCGAAGAAGGAAAGCGGCGGUGGACGCGGGCGCUUUCCAUCGGGAACGAAGACCCUGACGCGUGGGUCCCACGCGUCAGUGGCAGCGGGCACGCGCGCGUGCGGCGGGGCCAGUCUGGCUCGGUCGGGCGCGGUCGGAGGGGGCUGGUCCGGCCCAUUUUGGCGGGGCCGGUCCGGUUUUCUCUUUAUUUUUCUUUUAGCCCUUUUGUUUUUUCUGUUUUUCCUAUUUCUUUGAUAUCUUUUGAUUUUUACUCCAAAUUGGUCCAAAUAAAUUCUAGAAAAUUUCUAAAAUCAUGUUCUAUCAUGAUUCAACUUUUGGGAGUAAUUUCCCUUCAAAAUAAAAUACCUAAAAAUACAUUUUCCCUAUAAAUGCCUUUAGGGCUAUAUAACUAUUUAAAUAAAAUAGUUUUUCAACUCCAAAUAAUUGUCCAAAAAUUAUGGAAUAGCUCAUUUAUGCAAUAAACCCCUUUUAUAAAUAAACCUUAUUGGUUUAAAGAUUCAAAGCUCAAAUGGGUGUAAACCCUAGGGUUUAAAUUGAAAUAAAAACUUUUAAAGCCUUUUGAGAUUCAAAUUUGAAUUCAAACGUGCAAUUGUGGCAUGAUGCUUAUGAAUGCAAUGCAUAUGAAAGGAUUUGAAAUUUUGGGAUGUUACAGUCAAUGUCGCCAAGAGCUGCAGGACGUGGCCGCCGAAAAGAGUCGUCUUCAGGAACGUAUAGACUCCCGUAUUUCCGCAGAGAAAGAGCGGGAGAAGGUUUGGAUCGAGCGACUCGAAAGUGCUACUCACUCAGUUGCUGGUGAGCGCUUGAACCUGUUAUUCGAGUGGCUUUUCCUUCUCGUGGAAAAUUUUGACCGUUUCUCUGUCCUUUUGCAGGAGUCCUUGAUGCUUCCGCAUAGGUCCAAUUCAAAGAGAGAAGCCGAAGCUUCAAUGAUGUUUUAGAAAAUGUUGAAGUCAUCAAUGAUGAAGCCAAGGGCAAGCUCCGGCAAGCGACAAAGAUUCUGACCACCGUAAUCAGGAAGAUGACUCCUGAUGGGUCAGUGCCGGAGUCGCUGAAUGGGCUUAUUGAAUUUUUUGCAGCGAGUCAUGACCCGGUAGGGGAGUACUACUGAUGCUGAGCUAUUCUUUACGCUUGCUCUUGCGCAUGGCAUUGAGGAAGACGCUCUCCAUCGAGUAACCUCUCGAUCGAGAGCAGGUGACUCGGUCAACCUAGGGCCCCUUAUGGGAAAGGGCAAAGAGCUGGCUGAGAUCUCGUUGCGGCAGCCACGUAGAUCAAUUGAGGAGAUGAACCUAGCUUCAUCCAGCGGCCCAGAGGUGGGUGAUCUUUCACUAGAUAUAUUUGAUUCUCUUUCUCCUUUGUGAAUCUUCUUCUUCUGUUCUUAUACCUUUGUAAAGAACUGCUCUAGCUGAGCCCUUUUUGGAAAGAAAUCAAAAAAUCUUUAUUUCCAUCCCGAAAGGGGUUCUUCAGGAUAAAUGCUGAGGUAACUUGUGUCUUUUCCGCGCAGAGGGAAAAAGGACCAUCGAGUCACUCGAUUCCAGGUGCAGCGGCAACCUCUCGCAACGAUGCUCCAGCCGAUCCUAGCGGAAAAGGUCAGGCUGGGUCGGCUUUGUGCCCAGAGCAGUUACGAGAAAUUGAGGCUCGAUUCACUAAAUUGAAGCGUGACACGCUGGGUGACGCUCAGAGUAGCAAAUCUAGCCUGAAAGCUGCGACCAACCGGGAAGAGUUUGUCUUUGGAGAGCUUCGCAGCCUGAGCAGCCAAAUCCAAGGUAAGGAUCGCAAGACUUUGCCUUUCGAGUCGGUCUGCAAAGUGAUCUUACCGUCUUCUGUGCAGUUGUUCGCUUUGACCCUGACGAUGAAAAGGCCAAAGUGAAUACCGCCAUUCAAGCUCGCAGAGUGCAUGAUCCAUCAUCCUUUUCGCUGGAUCAGUCAAGGAGCUACGACUUGAUGCUGUUGAUCGAGCGGAUCAAGCAGGUCAAAAGGUACUUGACCUCCUGCCGUGACAUGCUAGCUUCGACACAUCUGGCCUUAUGGCCACAGGAGAAGGUGCCUCGUAAACCGGGCAGCCUGAUGGUGAAGUUUCACGACGAGGAGAAGAUGAAGGAGCUGGUUCGACUCUAGCUGGUGAGGGGUGCCCAGAUUGCCCUCGCAUUUGUGCGAGUCAACUGCCCAGAGUUGGAUUUCUGGCAAAUUGCUACAUUGCCAGUUACUCUCACCCAGGGUAUAAAGUCAUUCCUGGAGGCUGGGCAGGCGGCGGCGCUGUAGAUGAUCCAGCAAUGGGAGGCAGCUGAGGAGGAGACCCUGCCUGUCGUAGGUAGUCAUGUAGUUUUUUUCCUCUCUUUUUUUGUAACGACUAGUCUACCGGGUGCGCGAUCAGCGCUCCCGGUGGGAGUAGCCCCCGAGUGCGGUUGCAACUGUGUGUAGUGGCGACCGGACUCAAGGUUGUAAUGUGAUAUCCUUGAGCAAUGUUGCACCCCUUCUUUUUUUGGAAUGGAGCGCCCUGACUUGCCAAUUAGCGCCGAGUCGAAUUCCGACUUGUGGAAGUCGAAUUUGAGUCGGAUUUGAAGUACUCCUGGUGGGAGUGCCUCGCAGUCGAAUAUAAAUAGCCGAGUGCAGACUCGAACGUACUAGCCAGCGCAAGGGAUUUGUCCUGCUGAUUAGCACUUGGGCCUUGGAAGAAGAUAUGGAUUCCUCCGAUGCACUCGAGGUUAUGCAUAUCCGUUUGGGACAUGUGAGGAAUACCACCUCGCGCAGGCAUGGGAGGAGAUUUCCUUGCUCAAGUCGGAGAAUCGGGCCGCAUCGGGUCGAGAGGAUUUAAUUUCCUCAGGGAAAAUGUGAAGGUUGAAGCUGAAUGUGUAAAGAGUCGUCUUGAUGCUUUAGCACGAUCUGGUUCGGAGAACCCAUCCUUCUAGUCAAAACCGCGACAAGGGUUAUGCCCUUGCGCUUCUGCAAGAUCGAGUUGCAAGAGCAGUGAUCUGCCUGAAGUCCUGCAGUCACUGUUUGACAGAGGUUCACCAUAACUUGUUUCCGGAGCUUCGUGUCCCUGUUGACCUGAAGGGAUUAAUCGAGAGAUUUUGUGAAGGAGCAGUAGUGAGGGGGGCUACUCAUGAACAAUUGGUGGAGGGUGUUGUGCU
rnacentral:lncRNA from 1 species